GGGUGUGCACGUGAGUGGUGUGCACUUGUAUGAUAGCAGCGAUUUUGUGUGAUGGUCGUGUAAAUUAUUAUGGGUUGAUUGCUCGUGGAUGUAAGGUGCAUGUACAGGUUUAGAUGAGUGCUUUAGAGCCUCAUGUGUGUGUGCGUGCGUGCGUGACGCUUGGCAUUGCAGGUUUAUAAUCUCGGGUUGUAAAAAAAAAAACUAUUUCGUUUAUCUUGGUUCUGCCGGCUAUUCUCCUGAAGAAAAUGUUUUCUGCUCCGUAUUUCGGUAUGAAUUCUAAUGGACAUAAGAUGGUAUUUCAUAUUCAGUACAUGUAUAAUAGUCGAAGCAUUUCAAUGCAAGUGAGGGUGUACAUCUAAUAAUAGUUUCUUUUUUGUGCGUUGGUGUUUCCUGUGUACAUCCUAACUAUAUAAAGGUUAGAUUUGUGCUCGUGCUUAUUGUGUUUGUAUCCACUUGAUGCUUCAUUUUUAAGUCAAUAAAAUUCAUCUUUCUAUUAAAAAAAAAAUCAAAACUCACUCAAAGUGAUGCUCUGGGUUGGCCCACUUUCCAAUAUCUGCAUAUGGUUCUUUCUAUAUAAUGUGUCCUCGUGGCGAUUGAUGGGCUCCUAUGCGGCGCUUUAGGUGCCGAAAAGGAUAGCUGAUGCUCGUUAUAGCUUUGCUCACAGGCCGCAGCUGAAUAAGACCACCUCCCUCUCGCGCUUGCUUGCUUUUGUCAAGUUUGCUGGUUUUUCUUUCAUUAUUACCUACAGUAUGACCUCCCCCCUAAAAGAAACUUACGGUAUUAUCUAGUGUACUACUUCCUCUGUCCCAAUUGCGACAAGUAAGUCGGGAUGGAGGCAGUACUUGCCUCAAAAAGAAAAGACAAAACUACAGUCCUACAUGGCCAGCUGUUUUUAUCUACUAUACCACAUGCCAGCAGUUUCCAAAAUCUAUGAUUUUUUUAAAAUUUUAUGAAUAAAAAUUCACGAAUUCGAGAAAAAGUUUGUGGUUUAAAAAACAUUAAAAAAAUUAUGACUUUGAAAAAUCAUGAAAUUUGGAAUAUAUAAUCAUGAAUUUCAAAAAAUUCAUGAUAUUUAGAAAAGUUCGUAAAUACUGGAAAAAUUCAAAGAUUUUGAAACAACAUAAGCUGAUUCAAAAAAAUUCUCAAAUUUAAUAAAGUGCUAGAUUUGAAAAUAGUUCAUGAAUUUGGAAAAAGAAGUUCAUGAAUUUGAAAAAAACUGUGAAUUCAAAAAAACAUGAAUCUGAAAAAAGUUCACCAAUUUUUAAAAAGUGUGUGGGUUCAAAAAAGGACGAUAUUUGUAAAAAAAAGAUCACGAAUUUUACAAAAGUUCAAAAAAAUUUGGAAAAGUUCAUGAAAGAUGGAAAUUUUUCUUAUUUUCUAGAUAAAAUCACAAAUUUGAAAAAACUUCAUGGGUUUUGAAUUUUUUAUAAAAACCGAAAUGAAUUUUUGAAUUUGAAAAACAUUCAUGCAUUUGAAAAAAGUUUAGGAAUUUGAAAAAAGUUCACGAAUUGAAGAAAUAGUUUACGAUUUUAAAAAAGAGUUCACAAAUUUUGAAAAAGGAAAAGAAAGAGAAAAAGAAAAGGGAAAAAACUAACAAAAACUGGCCGAAACAAAACCGAAAAAACAUGUGUCUUCUAGGCGCACAACAUGAAACAAAAUAAGUAUUAGUAUGCACAGUAGGUGAGUUGUCCAUGUUGGUUACUGUGUUUGGAAGGAAACAUUGAGGUUCCUACUUUGAAUCUCACUACCUACAACAUUUUUGAAGGUUCAAUAAAAUGGGCCAAGCCCAGGACGCAAGGGGGCGUGCGCUGGUUUGUUGACUUGCCUUUUGGCGUCGGGGUCUCAUUUACCCAAGAAAGAAACAAAGAAAAAAGAUGAAGAAAAAAACAAUGGGAAAAAUAAAAUAAAAGGAAGCCCGUGAAAACCGAGAAAAGAAAGAGAGAAAACCUGAAGAAAUUGUAGAGAAAGAAAGAAAGAAAAACAGUUAAACCCGAAAAAAGAAGAUAGAAAGCGGUGAAAAAGUAAAGAAAACAAAAAAAAAUACAACCGUAGAAAACCUAACCAAAAACUAGUACAACGGUCGUCCCAAGUGAGCGAGGAAAUGAAAUGAGCAAACCACUAAAUGGGCCGGCCCAGAAACAAAGCGCGAGGGAGUUUCUUCAAGCGAGCAGAGUAUAUAUCUCGCUAUAAGCGAGAUAUAGCUCUUGCAGCGAUUAAUGCCCUUUUUCCUUUGCUACUGUGACCCUAGUGAAUUAUUAUUUUUGUUUAGAAAUCAUCCAUGCAAUGUCCCAAAUAUUGAUCCAUAUGUUUACAUUUAAUUCUAUUGUUGCUCUCUUCAAAGUUACUUGUACUUGGCAGUUGUUGGGUAUUUUGUUACUAUGAUACUGCUUUGCCACAUACACCACUUCAUUCACGGUAUUGUCAUUGCUAGUAAUAAUUCUUUCAAACAAGCAUUUGUUUCAUAUGUGUUUGAAUUGACAACAUAACUGCUAAAUGCUAAAAAAUUAAAUGCUCUUUGGCUCUUUUGUGUCGAAUCAAUACAUUUGUGUUGUGAUCCCUACGUUUGUGGAUCAUCAUCUAUACAUUAUUGCAUCAAUAACAAGUGAACCACUCAUGUUUUGUUGGAAUCCUAAAAUGCAUAGUUUUGUAUUUAUUGACAAAAUGAUUGUGAAACUACUUAAAAUGGGCUAUUUCUUUAUAUUUUUACCAACCACAGUUUUAUAAGAAAUACUCGCACUUAUAGGAUGGUGAGCAUUUCCAAAAUCUGAAGUUUCCCUAGCAUCUUGAGCAAUAGGUAACAAGGCAAAAUGUGUUGUAACCCAUCCAAUGUAAACUGAAUUGGAUGACACACUUCUGGGACCAAAAUUCCUUUAUGUGUGCCACAUCGAAACAUCACAAGUCAAAUCAAUAUAGUGCAUUACUCCAAGUCAAAAUAAAAAUAGUGCACUACUCACUAGGUUCUCCGAUUAAAGCUCCAUGCUACAUCAAGGAAGCGAAAAGUGUGGAACCUAAUUACUUAAAGUGUGGAGGUCAAACAAGAUGCCUAAAUUGCUUGUCCCCUCUUAGUUCCUUUUUUGCGCGAAAUCUUUCGAUCUAUUCAUCAACUGACAAGGUAGUAUAAAGAACACCAGAAGUAAAAAAUACAUCCAUGUCCGUAGACCACCUAGCGACGACUACAAUCAUUGGAGUGAGCCGAAGGCGCGCCACCAUCUUCACCCCUCCCUAAAUGGAACCGGGCAAGCUUUGUUGUAGUAGAUAGUCGGGAAGUCAUCGUGCUAAGGCCUCAUAGGGCCAACACACCAGAAUAGCAACCACCGCCUAUGAAGAGAAGCGUAGAUCAAAAGGAUCUAACUUGUAGACACAUGGACAUAGAUGAACGGAGACAUGAUCCAGCUGGAUCCAUCGGAGAUAAACGCCAACUGAAUCCCACGAGAUCCGCCAGAAAUAAACCUCCACAAGCCCUCCAGCGAUGCUAGAAACACCACCAGGACGGGGACUAGGCGGGGAGAACCUUAUUCCAUCUUCAGAGAGUCGUCACCGCCUUGCCACUUGUUCACACACGAACACGUCACAUUGUACCCUCGACGCCAGGGGUGAUGCAUCGCAGCUCACGUCGAAGGAGACCCGACCGACAGCGCGAUACGCAGGACAGUCGACGGGUGCUUUUGUAGGCCCGAAGCCCCGCUUGCCCGGGAGGGACCCCGUCAGGGCUCGCGGCGGCUAUGGGCUGCUCCAGGUCGAGUCGCUCGCCCCUAGAGCCUCGUGGAUCCGCAGCCCUCCAACAUGAAGAACUAGCGAAGAACGAGAAGAAAGAUACAAGGAGAGAUAAAAAGUAGAUGAACACGAAAAAGUAAUAGAUUGAUUUGUUCGAUUGGUGUUGUUUCAAUUGGCCGUUACCCCUAACAUAUAUAAGAGGCGGUUGGACUUCCCGUACAAGCAAAUGAUUCAUCUAAGCUUUCCUUACAAGAAAAUUAUAUCAAUUCAUGUCCUACAUCUCUAUUUCCAGUCCAACUCGGAUUCAGCCCGAAUCUGUCCCAUACUUCUGUCUUGCUUCUUGCGCGGGCCAUAGAAAUCGCAUACUAACUCGGAUGGAGUUGAGUUCAGCAUCAAACUUGUCUGCCUCGAUGAUUUGCAUAAGACCGCACGGGCCACUUCUCCUUUUAAGGCUAUCUUUAUGACUUUCAGGGCCUAUCUUUAAAUGUGGGUUGGAUUCAAUUAUGCAGUUUUCUGAACUGUCCGAGUCUUGUAACAACUCUGUAGGCCGUGUACUAUCUCCGAUGAUGAUGACUCCAAAAGAAAAGUUGACCGUUUCAACGAUGUGAACAACUUCUGUGUAGAACACUUUUCCAUACAAGGUCGUCUGAAUAACCUUUUGAGCCCAUCUCCAACUUCUGGUCGGAUUGACUUUGACAGUCUCCACCCCGGCAAGCUUUCCACCCCGGCAAGCUUUCCACACCGGUAAGGUUUCUACCCCGGCAAGCUUCACACCGGCAAGCUUCCACACCGACAAGAUUUCAUGCCGGCAAGGUCUUCAUCCCGGCAAGCCUCAUUCAGCCGGCAAAGGAUGAAUAACUCACGCGACCCAUCAGACACCACCUAGGUGGGUGUCUGGUCCCUCACGUCACUCAGGACCGGUCCGCGAAGUGUUGCCUCUAACUUUUGCAUACGAACUCAGAUUGGGACACUUUUUAUAUCAAAAUCAAUCAGUUCGACGAGACAAAGACAAUUCAUGUAGAUCAUGUUUUCAUAUGAGGUCAUCUUGGGGGCUUAAUCGGCCAAACUGUACUCUAUAUAUAAGAUCUUGGUACUUUGAGCAUAGUUUCGGCCUUUAGGAUGAAAUCGGACGGCGACGGGCCAAACUUCAAAGAUGCACUUCUCCAUUUGAGGCCAUCUUAUUGACUGUGCCAAAAUUGGGUGUCAACACCACUAUGAGUAGGACACAAUCCCUAACAAAAAUAAAAAACAUGAAAAACUUAAGCCCUCCCACCGGCAAGGGCCAGGAUCCACUGCGCCUCCAUGACCCUAAGACCACAGGAGACGAGAUAGCCGACGGCAGCACCAGUGAAAGGAUCGAUAUAGUUGACUAGAGGGGGGUGAAUAAGCAACUAACAAUUUUUAGCUUUUCUUUACCAAUUUAAACUUUGCAUCAAAGUGGGUUGUCUAGAUAUGCAACUAGGUGAGCAACCUAUAUGAUGUAACAACAACAAGCACACAAGCAAGCAAGGGAUGCAACACAAUAUAAGCUUGCACAAGUAAAGGUACGAGAUAACCAAGAGUGGAGCCGGUGAAGACGAGGAUGUGUUACUGAAGUUCCUUCCCUUUGAGAGGAAGUACGUCUCCGUUGGAGCGGUGUGGAGGCACAAUGCUCCCCAAGAAGCCACUAGGGCCACCUUAUUCUCCUCACGCCCUCACACAAUGCGAGAUGUCGUGAUUCCACUAUUGGUGCCCUUGGAGGCGGCGACCGGACCUUUACAAACAAGGUUGGGGCAAUCUCCACAACUUAAUUGGAGGCUCCCAACGACACCACCGAAGCUUCACCACAAUGGAAAUUGGCUCCACGGUGACAUCAACCUUCUAGGGUGCUCAAACACCCAAGAGUAAUAAGACCCGCAAGGGAUUAGUGGGGGAAUCAAAUUUCUCUUGGUGGAAAUGUAGAUCGGGGCCUUCUCAACCAAUCCCUAGAAAAUCAACAAGGUUGAUUGGCUAGGGAGAGAGAUUAGGUGAAAAUGGACCUUAGAGCAACAAUGGAGCUUAGGGAUGGAAGAGGUAGUCAACUCGGAGAAGAAGACUCCCCUUAUAUAGUAAUAGGACAAAUCCAACCAUUAUCCACUUACCCAGCUUGCGACGUGCGAUACUACCACACCAGCCAUGCGGUACUACCGCAAGGGCCUGCGGUACUACCGCGGGGCACUGCGGUACUGCCGCAGGCGCGGCAGGAGCCAGACCGGCCCUGAUGCGUUGAAGCAAAGAGCGGUAUAACCGCCGGAGCGGUACUACCGCUCCCCCUUGCGGUACUACCACAAGCCAGGGUUUGUCUAGGCUGGGAAGGCAUGGACAUAUAAAAAUACAUCCAUGGCUACUUCCCUUGAGUUUCGAUUUGUGUAAAAACCCGACACAGUACUGUUGUGAACAUGGAGCGGUACUACCGCGUAGGGCGCGGAUGUAAAAAGUUACAUCCGCCCCUACUUCUGCUCGUGCUGUUGUGCCUAGCUCGAGGCCACGGUACUACUGCGCCCUGGGAGCGGUACUACCGCAAUGGACUGUAGUACUACCGCGACCGUGGCCGGUACUAUCGUAAGCCUCUGCGGUAUUACCGCUCCCAUGAGCAGUACUACCGCAUGCCCAACACAACCAACACUAGGAGUCCUUCAGUUUGCAGAGACACGGAUAAUUGGAGGAUGCUCCAAAGAGCCAACGGAAAGGUGGUGCAAAAGGAACAGACGUGUAGAUGAUGAUUCCAUCCAAACCUUUCCAAAGCGGAUCCCCUCUUAAUAGUACGACUUUCCUAGGACUCAAAUCCACUGAAAAGAAACACAGGGAAAACUCCGUCUUCACUAGACUCCGAGAGGCAACGAAUUGUCUUGUGCGUGAACAUGAGAUAUCUGAAAUGCUCAAUGCACACGAUUAGUCCACAAAAGCAUUGCCAUCAAUCGCCAAAACCACUAAGGGAUAAAUAUGCCCUUACAAUCUCCCCCUUUUUGGUGGAUUGAUGACAAUACGGGAUUUGCACAAAGGGAAAUAAAAUGAAGCAUAGGCAAACCCAACAUCUAUAAAAUAUAGACGGGCUCCCCCUAGAUGUGUGCUCUCUAGAGAAGUGCUUUGGACUGCACGACACACAUACUAGGAUCAACACUCCCCCUAUAUUUUAUAGACGAGGCAUAUAUUGAAACAAAAUAACUAACACUAAGCAAGGAUGCAAGAUAAUAAAUAUGAGCAUAAAGUAACGAGAGAACAAUCUACUAAGCAAACUAGAUAACAUGAUAAGACAAUGAGAUACGCUGAGGACAUAUGUCUUACACCAUAUGAUAGGCUCCUGGAUCCAGACGAAAACAAACACAAACCAACAAACGUGUUUCAACAGGACGAAAGCAAAGAGCGAGACACAACAACACAAAACUCGCAAAUCCUACACUCUCUCCCCCUUUGGCAUCGAGACACCAAAAAGGCAGAGAUGACACCUACGACACAGGUGGUAGCUCAAGCUGAAGCGAUCACUCGUCACGCUCCUCGUCGGUCUCGGCAGGAGGGAUGGUCUCCUCCUCAGAUUCAGUCUACUGGUAGCCCUGCUUCGCCAUCCAUUCAGCCUCUGGGGUGAUGUGCUUCUCGGACCCGCUUGAUACCUGCUCACCGAACGUCCUCAAGAUCCUCUUGUCGCGCCGGCGACUCUCCUUCUGAGCAACAUGAGACUGGUACUGGCCCUUGGCCUGUGAUAACCCACAAGUAUAGGGGAUCACAACAGUUUUUGAGGGUAGAGUAUUCAACCCAAAUUUAUUGAUUCGACACAAGGGGAGCCAAAGAAUAUUCUCAAGUAUUAACAGUUGAGUUGUCAAUUCAACCGCACCUGAAAGACUUAAUAUCUGCAGCAAAGUAUUUAGUAGCAAAGUAAUAUGAUAGUAGCGGUAACGGUAGCAAAAGUAACAGUAUUGGUUGUGUAGUGAUUGUAACAGUAGCAACGAAAAAGUAAAAAAGAAAAAACAAUAUGUGAAAAGCUUGUAGGCAAUGGAUCAGUGAUGGAUAAUUAUGUCGGAUGCGAUUCCUCAUGCAACAGUUAUAACAUAGGGUGACACAGAACUAGCUCCAGUUCAUCAAUGUAAUGUAGGCAUGUAUUCCGAAUAUAGUCAUACGUGCUUAUGGAAAAGAACUUGCAUGACAUCUUUUUUCCUACCCUCCUGUGGCAGCGGGGUCCUAUUGGAAACUAAGGGAUAUUAAGGCCUCCUUUUAAUAGAGUACCAGACCAAAGCAUUAACACUUAGUGAAUACAUGAACUCCUCAAACUACGGUCAUCACCGGUAAGUAUCCCGAUUAUUGUCACUUCGGGGUUAACGGAUCAUAACACAUAAUAGGUGACUAUAGACUGGCAAGAUAGGAUCAAGAACUCACAUAUAUUCAUGAAAACAUAAUAGGUUUAGAUCUAAAAUCAUGGCACUCGGGCCCUAGUGACAAGCAUUAAGCAUAGCAAAGUCAUAGCAACAUCAAUAUCAGAACAUAAUGGAUACUAGGAAUCAAACCCUAACAAAACUAACUCGAUUACAUGAUAAAUCUCACCCAACCCAUCACCGUCCAGCAAGCCUACGAUGGAAUUACUCACGCACGACGGUGAGCAUCAUGAAAUUGGUGAUGGGGGAAGGUUUAUGAUGAUGAUGGCGACAGAUUCCCCUCUCCGGAGCCCCGAACGGACUCCAGAUCAGCCCUCCCAAGAGAGAUUAGGGCUUCGCGGUAGCUCUAUAUCGUAAAACGUGAUGAAUCGUUCUCUCUGAUUUUUUUCUCCCCAAAGGUGAAUAUAUAGAGUUGGAGUUGAGGUCGGUGGAGCACCAGGGGGCCCACGAGGCAGGGGGCGCGCCCCCACCCUUGUGGACAGGGUGUGGGCCCCCUAGCCUUGAUUCUUUCGCCAGUAUUUUUUAUAUAUUCCAAAAAUAUUCUCCGUUGAUUUUCAGGUCACUCCGAGGACUUCUAUUUCUGCACAAAAAUAACACCAUGGCAAUUCUGCUGAAAACAGCGUCAGUCUAGGUUAAUUCCAUUCAAAUCAUGCAAGUUAGAGUCCAAAACAAGGGCAAAAGUGUUUGGAAAAGUAGAUACAUUGGAGACGUAUCAGCCUGCAUGCAGAACAGAGCCUUCAUCUUGUUCUUCAGCCUCUUAGCCUAAGAGGGCUCAGAAGAUGAAGGCGAGUAUCCAUCAGAGAUGUCCUCAUCUGCUUCCUCCUCCUCAAUCUCAUCCUCAUCCACAUCCAUCUUAGCAGCCUCCGCCUCAGCACGGGUAGUGGUGUUAGCCCACUUGUUCUUGAUGUGCAGCUUGAUAGGCUCGUGGCGGGUCCAGUUUGGAGCAGAAAAGUCUUCCUCCGGAAACAUCUUGUCCCAAGUCUUCGAGAUUAGAAGGUGCAGGUAUGGACCAUAGAUGGGAACUUUGUGAUUGUAGACCGCAAACCUGAGCUCACUCCACAUGAUAUGAGAGAUGUCCAGAGGCUGGGUGGCAUGACGACGCGCCUCCUCGCACAGAAGCAACAUAUCCAUGAGAUAAGCAUGCACCUUAUCUUUGUCACCGAUGCGAGGAAAGAGAGUGUUGUAGAAGAUUCGGUGCAUGACAUCUAGGAAGGGGUUGAGCACCCAAGUCUGAGUGCCAUUGGGAAGCUUGUUCUCCACAAGAAACGGUAGAAGCUUGUCCUUGUUGGCAGACUCGGCGUUGCCGUGAGGGCGGGCGCCAAUGGGCACAUCGGGCCCAUCAUCAAGGACAUGCAGGAGCGUCAUGAAUUCCUUCCAGGUAGCAGACAGCUUCUUCCCAUUGGUCAUCGAAGUCAUAGUCCACUCCCCAUCCAUGUGAAAGUGGACGGAGGCAAAGAACUGCGCCACUAGCUCCGGGUCAAAGUCCAUAUGGAACGCGAUGAAGUCUUCAAUGCCAAACUGCUCGACCAAGUCUAGUGUCUCACCAAAGUAGUUCCGGUCCUUCCUCAGAUGAUUCAUAUCAAUCCACUGCAUUGGAACAUAAAGGUUGUGCUUGGUCUUGAUCACAUCAAUGUAUAUGAGAUUCCGUGCUUGGUCCAGAAAAACUCACACCCUCUGACAUUCUCAUGAGGAUUCACAUAGGGAUCGAUCCUCCUUCGAAUGAUGAACUCUGAUUGAGGCAGCUCGUCCAUGCCCUGAACUGGCUCCUUGUUCCGGUUGGCAGUCUUCUUGACAUUGCGUUGUGGGGCAUUGGAGCCCUCCGGAGCUUCUUGAUUGCGAAGACGCUUGGAGCUUGUGUCGUGGCUUGGGUUCGAGCGACGGACAUUGGAGGCACCACCUAUGACACACAACACCAGAACACACGAGAGAAAUGAGAAGGAUCAAUGCAAAGACCACGGCAAAAACAAAUGAAACACGUAGAAAAAAGAUUGGGUAGUUGCCACAAGGAAGGUUCGAAGUCAGCGGUAGUAUCGCACCUCUAAGUGGAACUAAAAUUUUACUGCCGCUCUAGCCGCGGUAGUACCGCGCCGGGAUGGCACGGUAGUACCGCGCCUAGGGCGGAAGUAAAAUUUUACUUCCGCGCUGCUCCCGGUAGUACCUCCCCAGAGGAGCGGUAGUACCGUACGAUGUAGAAGCGGCCUGAGCGGUAGUACCAUACAGGAGGUGCGGUAGUACCGCUCGGGAUCAGAUCCGUGAAGAACAGAUCUAGGCACAUCCGCAACAUUUGAGUGGUACUACGGUUGAUCAAAAAUACCAUGUGGCAACAUACCAAAUAGCAUUUCUACUACACUACAACUCUCCUACAUCCUACUCUUGCAAAGAUUUGGCCUAAAAUCUCAAGAACAACACCCAGAACCUAGAGGCAAAACAACGAAGCAAAGAGAGAGGGAUUUGGGGAGAAACCUUGUUCCAUGGCAAGAGGACGGGGUGGGGAUCGAUCCCACCGGUCAGAAUGCGAGGAGAGCGGCCGGAGACGGAGAUCCGGCGAGGUCCUCCAACACCAUUCUUGGCCAGGAGAGAGAGAGACGAAGUGGGGAGACGGAGUUGAAUGGGUAUGGGGAGUUGGAACUCCCCCUGCCCGCUCUUAACCCCCACCCGCUCGUGACGGCGUGGUAGUACCACGGGUAAUCGCGGUAGUACCGCCCGGGCGGAAGUACCGCACGCAGGGCGGUAGUACCACUCAUCCAGCGGCAGUAAAAAAUUACUGUCGUGCUGGUUGUGGUAGUACCGUGCUCAUCUCCUGCGGUAGUAUUGUGGCUAGCCACGGUAGUACCGUAGACCCAAGAAAGUGCAUGUUUCGACAAAGAGAAAAACAUGGCCUUUGCACAACAGCCUUCAAGCGACCGGACACGCAAACGCGCACACACACACGAGGCACCUUAGACACACACAAGGCAGAAAGAAGAAGGCAAAAGACAACAAGGACUAACCACGAAACACAACCUCUCCAAAGAGGGUGGCCGGAGCCACCUAUGUUUGAGUCAGUUUGUAUGGCACCGCGAAGAGUUAUCCUUGGGCCCAUGAAAAAAACUCAUCUUUGAAGCACAAGUACCAUAAAAAAUGGCUAAUGUGAAAGAAUUGAUCAAUUUAUGCAUAAUGGGGGGAGGGAGAGUUCAUUGAGAGAACAACACUCCCCCUAUGUCCAUGCCUACACCUAAACAAGAUAUCAAGAUGAGUAUGGUGUGGUGUGCAAGGGUUCAAGCCACAUUGCUCGAAUCAAUGAUAUUUAGCUCAUGCCUUAACUCACGAAAUCUUGCUUCAUCCAAGGGCUUCGUGAAGAUAUCUGCAAGGUUAUCAUGAGUGUUGACACAGUUGAGCUUGAUCUCCCCUCGCCUAAUAUGAACCCGGAUGAAGUGAUACUGAAUCUCAAUAUGCUUCAUCUUGAAGUGUUGCACCAGGUUGAGAGAAAUCUUGAUGGCACUUUCAUUGUCACACCAAAGAGGCACUUUGUCACAAAUGACACUGUAAUCCUUUAAAGUUUGCCUUAUCCAUAGAAGUUGUGCACAACAACUACUGGCGGCCACAUACUCCGCUUCGGUGGACGAGAGAGACACACAACUUUGCUUCUUAGACCAACUCACCAAAGAGCAACCAAGGAAUUGGCACCCCCCGGAAGUUGACUUCAUAUCCACUUUGUCUCCCGCCCAAUCAGAGUCCGAGUAGCUUAUAAGGUUGAAGUUUGCUCCUCUUGGGUACCAUAAGCCAAAGUUUGGGGUAUGAGCCAAAUAUCGAAAGAUUCGCUUGACCACCACAUAGUGGCUUUCCUUAGGUGCGGCUUGAAACCGUGCACAGAUUCCCACACUCAAGAUGAUAUCCGGUCUAGAUGCACAAAGGUAAAGGAAGGAGCCAAUCAUGGAGCGAUAUACCUUUUGAUCCACCGCUUUACCAUUGGGAUCUAUGUCAAGUUGGCAUUUGACGGACAUUGGAGUGGAAGCCGGCUUGAAAUCACUUAGCUUGAAUCUCUUGAGCAUGUCUUGAGUGUAUUUGGCUUGGUUGAUGAAGGUUCCUUCUCUUCCUUGCUUGAUUUCGAACCCGAGAAAGAACUUCAACUCUCCCAUCAUGGACAUCUUGAACUUUGAGGUCAUGAGAGUGGCAAACUCCUCAUUGAAAGCUUUGUUAGGAGAACCAAAGAUAAUAUCAUCAACAUAUAGUUGGCAUACAAACAACUCCCCUUUGACCUUCUUGGUAAAAAGAGUGGGCUCGAUUUUACCAAUUCCAAACCCACAAUCUUGCAACAACUCGGUAAGGUGCUCAUACCACGCACGUGGGGCUUGUUUAAGGUCAUAUAGCGCCUUAUCGAGUUGGUACCCAUGAUCGGGAAAAUAGGGAUCCUCGAACCCCAGUGGUUGUUUGACAUACACCAACUCAUUAAUAGGACCAUUAAGAAAAGCACUCUUCACAUCCAUUUGUUGCAACUUAAAGUUAUGAUGAGAAGUAUAAGCAAUCAAUAGACAAAUGGAUUCAAGGUGAGCAACGGGACCAAAGGUUUCACCGUAGUCAAUACCCUCGACUUGGGAGUAGCCUUAUUGAGGGAGUCCUGGAUUAGGGGGUCUCCGAACAGCCGGACUAUAUCCUUUGGCCGAACUGUUGGACUAUGAAGAUACGAGAUUGAAGACUUCGUCCCGUGUCCGAAUGGGACUCUACUUGGCGUGGAAGGCAAGCUAGGCAAUACGGAUAUGUAUAUAUCCUCCUUUGUAACCGACCUUGUGUAACCCUAGCCCCCUCCGGUGCCUAUAUAAACCGGAGGGUUUUAGUCCGUAGGACAAGAUACAACCAUACCAUAGGCUAGCUUUUAGGGUUUAGCCUCUCUCAUCUCAUGGUAGAUCGACUCUUUUAAUACUCAUAUAAUCAAGAACAAUCAAGCAGGACGUAGGGUAUUACCUCCAUCAAGAGGGCCCGAACCUGGGUAAACAUCGUGUCCCCUGCCUCCUGUUACCAUCCGCCUUAGACGCACAGUUCGGGACCCCUACCCGAGAUCUGCCGGUUUUGACACCGACAUUGGUGCUUUCAUUGAGAUUUCCACUAUGUCAUCACCAUAAGGCUUGAUGGCUCCUUCGAUCAUCGCUAGCGAUGCGGUCCAGGGUGAGGCUUUCCUCCCCGGACAGAUCUUCAUAUUCGACGGCUUUGCACUGCGGGCCAAUUCGCUUGGCCUUCUGGAGCAGAUUGAGAGCUACGCCCCUGGCCAUCAGGUCAGAUUCGGAAACUUGAACUACAUGGCCGACAUCCGCGGAGACUUGAUCUUCGACUGAUUCGGGCCCAUGUCGGACGCGCCGUGUAGUCGUGACGAGCAUGACGUAACUCUGCCGUCGGACAAUGUUCGGGAGAUCGCAUCCGCAACUACUCUGUCCAUCAAUCCGGAGCAAGUUGCGCCAUCUGAGAGCAGAGGGAUGGACCCCACCAUGGAGGCCGCACUCUCAGUGGCGUUAGAGCUGGAUACUGACUUGACUCCUUACGAGAGCCAUGUCGCUGAACCACUUGAUUCAUCUCCGGCCACGGACUCCGAGCCGCUCAUAUCCGUGCCCGUCAAAUCCGACUGGGCGCCAAUCAUGGAGUUCACCUCCGCGGAUAUCUUUCAGCACUCACCUUUAGGAGAUGUGCUAAAUUCAUUAAGGUCUCUCUCCCUGUCAGGAGAACCUUGGCCGAACUAUGUCCAGCUAGAAUGGGAUGCGGACGACGAAGAAAUUCACUGCCCACCCACCACCCACUUAGUAGCCACUGUCAACGACUUAAUUGACAUGCUCGACUUCAGCUCCGAAGACUUCGACGGUAUGGACGACGAAGCCGGAGACGAACAGGAUCCACCACCCUUGGGGCAAUGGACCGCCACCUCAUCAUAUGAUAUAUAUACAUGGUGGACACCCCCAAAGAAGCCAAUGGCGCCGAGAUAGCGGAGGAUGACCCCUCCAAGAAGCAACCCAAGCGCCGACGUCAGCGGCGCCUCUCUAAGUCCCGCCACAGCAAGAGCAGUGAUACCGGCAUAGGAGAUAAUAACACUCCGGAUAGCGCUGAAGACAACAACAAUCCCCUCCAGCACGGUGCAGAGCUAGAGGACGAACAAGCUAGCCACCGGAGGAGGACAAUUACAUGCCUCUCUCCGAAGACGAGGCGAGCCUCGGCGACGACGAGUUUAUCGUGCCUGAGGACCCCGUCGAGAAAGAGCGCUUCAAGCGCUGUCUUAUUGCCACGGAAAAUAACCUAAAGAAGAAACAACAAUAGCUUCAAGCUGAUCAAGACUUGCUAGCAGACAGGUGGACCGAAGUCCUUGCGGCCAAGGAGCAUGAACUCGAGCGCCCGUCCAAGAGUUACCCAAAAUGCAGGUUACUACCUCACCUCGAGGAGGAAGCAUUGAAACCUCAUUCACCAGUGUAUGAUGCGUCUGACCGGCCACUACGCGGCCGAGCCAGGGAGGCAUUUCAGCCUAAAGAUCAGACCGCACCCUGUUGCCACUUAGUCAAAAAUACCAAGGCCCGGGGCAACAUAGAGGACCUGCGAGACAUCUUGGACAGUAAGGCAAAAAUUGCAAGGUCAAUAUAUGGGAAACGGGCACGUGCGCCCACACGGGACGAUGAUCAUCGCGCCGGAUACACCAAGAGUAAAUCCAGCCGGGCCGAAUAUAGCAGACAAGACUCAUACGAACUAUGUCGGGAUAUAGCCCGGCACAGAGGUGCCGCACACCCCCUAUGCUUCACUGAUGAAGUUAUGAAUCAUGAAUUCCCGGAGGGUUUCAAACUCGUAAAUAUCGAAUCAUACGAUGGCACAACAGAUCCUGCUGUAUGGAUUGAAGAUUUCCUCCUUCACAUCCACAUGGCUCGCGGUGAUGAUCUACAUGCCAUCAAGUACCUCCCACUAAAACUCAAAGGACCAGCUCGACAUUGGCUGAAUAGCUUGCCAGCAGAUUCCGUUGGCAGUUGGGAGGAUCUGGAAGAUGCAUUUCUUGACAACUUCCAGGGCACUUAUGUGCGACCGCCGGAUGCUGAUGACUUGAGCCACACAACCAAGCAGCCAGGGGAAUCGGCCAGACCAUUCUAGACACGGUUCCUGACUAAGAAAAAUCAAAUUGUAGACUGUCCGGAUGCAGAGGCCCUAGCGGCAUUCAAGCAUAACAUCUGCGACGAGUGGCUCGCCCGCCACCUCGGCCAGGAGAAGCCGAAAUCUAUGGCAACCCUCACGACACUCAUGGCCCACUUUUGCGCGGGCGAGGAUAGCUGGCUGGCUCGUAGCAAUAACACAUCGAGGAAUCUGGAUACCUCGGAUACCAAAGAUGCUAACGGUAGGCAGCAUCGUAAUAGACCAAAGUGCCGCAAUAACGGCGAUAACACCGAAGAUACGGCAGUUAAUGCCGGAUUCAGAGGCUCUAGAUCCGGUCAGCGGAAAAAGCCAUUUAAAAGAAACACUUCGGCUCCGUCCAGUCUGGAUCGCUCGUGUCAAAUCCACGGCACCCCCGACAAGCCAGCCAAUCACACCAACAGAGAAUGUUGGGUGUUCAAGCAGGCCGACAAGUUAAAUGCCGAGAAUAAGGACAAGGGGCCACACAACGAUGAUGAGGAGGAGCCCCGGCCGCCGAACACAGGAGGAUAGAAGGGGUUUCCCCCACAAGUGAAGACUGUGAACAAGAUAUACGCAACCCACAUUCCCAAGAGGGAGCAGAAGCGUGCACUAAGGGACGUCUACGCGAUGGAGCCCGUCGCCCCAAAGUUCAACCCAUGGUCUGCCUGUCCGAUCACCUUCGAUCGCAGGGACCACCCCACUAGCAUCCGUCAUGGUGGAUCCGCCACACUGGUCCUAGACCCCAUCAUUGACGGAUUUCACCUCACUCGAGUCCUUAUGGAUGGCGGCAGCAGCCUGCACCUGCUUUAUCAGGAUACAGUGCAAAAAAUGGGUAUCGAUCCCUCGAGAAUUAAACCCAGAAAAACCACCUUUAAAGGUGUCAUCCCAGGUGUAGAGGCCCAUUGCACAGGCUCAAUCACACUGGAAGUGGUCUUCAGAUCACCGGAUAACUUCUGAAGCGAAGAGUUAAUCUUCGACAUCGUCCCGUUUCGCAGUGGCUACCAUGCACUGCUCGAACGGACAACAUUUGCAAAAUUCAAUUCAGUGCUGCAUUACGCAUACCUCAAGCUCAAGAUGCGAGGACCUCGCAGGGUUAUAACAGUAAAUGGAAACACAGAACGCUCGCUCUGUACGGAAGAGCACACUACGGCCCUUGCAGCAGAGGCACAAAGCAACCUGUUCAGGUAGACCACUCAUUCAGUGUCACAGCCCCCGAACACCUUCAAGCGAGUCAGAAACAAGCUGCAACAGGAUCGCCUGGCACGAUCAGAGCUCGCCUAGCAGUCCAGCCCCUGUCCCAGUCCCAGUGAAGCGACGAAAACCGUGCCACACGUACAUAACUACGCAUUGAAAAUACCAUGAACAUAGGCGGGGGCACAAUCAGGACACGCCCCACAUUGUGGCUUAACCACACUAGGGGCUGUACACCUGUGACAUUCCUUUUCUCUUUCAGGGCCUAACUCUUUGGAAGCCCUUUCCGGCAGUACGAUUGCCGAACACAUUCCGGAAGAAACAACCAAGGCGGCAAGAAGCUAGGAUGAACACGGGAACCGCCAGGUGGUCUCUAGUAAUACUUGAUAUACCCGUUUUUCACUAUUUAUGCAUAGCUUGCCCUGGGAUAAGACAUUUCGAAUUGUCCUACUUUAUGCUUAUUGCACUACUUGUACCAGUACGCUUCGACGUAUUAUUCAAAUAACAAUGCAUAUCAUUAAUCUGUCAUUGCAUUAUUUAAGUUUUUCUCUUUUCUCUUAUACGUCCAUUUACGACAAUCCGCACCCGCACGUUCAGGUACAGUCAGUACGCCAGGAGCUCUCGUUUACCCCACAAUACGACGCAGGAAAUACGAACACUUUCGACAGUGCGGCACCCCGAACUUAUAGCAUUAUAUGCAUCAGCUCCGAAUCAUGUCUUUGGUCAAAUGUUGGGUCGCCCGGCUCCCAUGCUUUGGUACCUUACGUUCCGCUAUAUCGGCUAAGGUAGCGGUGGGAGAACUACUGCGAUUGUGUCCUGGUUCUUCUGGACGAGAACCUCAGUAGAGAAAGCCAAAAACUGACUGUCAUGAUAAGGCGAGAGACUGGUCGCUGUUCGAGAGGUCUCAAGUCCUUAAAGACUUUUUCCGCUUCGGGCAAGGAGUCGGCCUUGUCCGGCUUAGGCGUGUAUAGCGCCCCAAAUUCGUCCCUACGAAUACCAGGGGCUUCGCCAAAAAUUUAAAAUUAUAGACUUCUAUGGCUAAGUGAGAGUGAUAAAGCAUUAUAGUCCGAUUGCCUGGUUCACUGCACUGAACACCUCCCUUAAAGGACCCAAAAUUGGGGUAAAGAUUGUUCAGAUUUACCCCGAACACCCCAGAACUAGUUACAUGGGGGUAGAAGCCGACGACUGGCCAACUCUCAGAUUUUAUAAAAAUGGCCGCACAGAAGGUAAUAUUUUAAAUUAAGAAAGCGUCGCAUGGUGCAAAAGAACUCGUUUCAUAUUACAGGAUCACAUGGGCAUGUUCAUUCAAAAAUUACAUCCUUGGCACCCUCAUCUGCCACUAAGCGGGAACCCUUCAGGACGCUCUCACAAUAAUUCUCAGGGCAGCGAUGCUCCUUGCCCUCCGGCGGCCCCUCCUUCACCAACUUCACGACGUCCAGCUUCGCCCGGGCAAUAGCCAUGCGUGCACCUUCGAUGCAGACAGACCAUUUGAUGACUUCAAGCCAUGGGCAGGCUUCCACAAGCCGCCUCACCAGACCGAAGUAGCUGCCGGACAGGGGCUUGCCAGGCCACAUCCGGACUAUAAGGCCCCCCAUGGCCUGUUCGGCCGCCUUGUGAAGUUCGACCAACUACUUCAGCUGGUCUCUCAAGGACAUGGGGUGUUCGGUCCUAGUAUACUGAGACCAGAACAACUUCUCCGCUGAGCUCCCUUCCUCAGCCCGGUAAAACUCCGCGGCAUCCAGUACACUGCGAGGAAGAUCUGGAAACGCUCCUGGAGAGCUCCGAACUCGGGUAAGAAAAAGGAAAGUCUCCUUCACAUGCUUGCUUUGCAUAUUGAAUGCCUUACCCGUUGCUAUCUUCUUCACCGUGUCAAUCUCCUGGAGGGCCUUGUGGGCUUCGGCCUUGGCGCUCCGGACGCUUUCAAGCGCCUGCGCGAGCUCGGACUCUCGCGUCUUGGAGUCCAGCUCCAAGGACUCAUGCUUUUUGGCGAGAGCCUCUAGCUCUUGAUGCACCUCGCCUACUCGGGCUUCUUGUUUCUCCUGUUCCAGGCGUUCUUUGGCCGCUUUGUCUUCGGCCUCAGACACCGCCUUCCUCAGGGUCUCCACCCCGGUCGUGGCCCCUGACAAAUUCAUGAUCGAUCCUAUUAGUUUACACCCGAACUUCUUUUUAACUAUAUAGACAGGGGUAUAUCUUACCUUUGCUCUCUUCGAGCUGCCCCUUGGUGAGGAUGAGCUCAUCCUCGGACCGCUUCAGGGCCUGCUUCAGCGCAGAAACCUCCACAGUACGUGCGGCAGCAGCCAGCAGUGAAGCCUGCACAUACACAUAGACAUACUCUAAUUAGACUCCUGAGUUAUCAUUUGAUCCUCUAUUCGGUUUUUCUUCACGAAUGCCGAACAGAGCAUCAGGGGCUACUAUCUAUGCGGUAAUAUUUUCUUAUAUUUUGAAUGCUUACCUCAAAGCCUGUUAGGAGGCUGGCGCAAGCUUCGGUCAGUCCGUUUUUGGCGGGCUGAACCUUCUCGACCACCGCACUCAUCAUAGUGCGGUGCUCUUCUGCGAUAGCGCUAUGAAGCGCUUCCAGCAAGGUGUCCGGUGCCUCUGGUUGGACAGAGGACACCAGCACGGAUGGUUGGCCCCCCUUAAUGGGGGACCGCCUGCCGGAGUCCGGAAUCAUCGAAGGUUCCGGCGCAGUGUCCGGCUGGGGCCCGAACUCGAAGCCCGUAGGAGCCUUGCUCCCUUGGUACCCAGGGCCCAGGAGGUCGCCGUGAGGCGCCCCCAGGAUCACCUCCCCUUGGCUCGGUGCCUUUUGAGACAACACCUCAGCGUUGUCCGUAGGGCGAGGGGUGGAAGCCGUCGGAGGAGAACCGCUGUUCAUAUCCGACGAGUCCAAAGAGUCGCUCGACGAGGGUACGUCGAGAUGAGCUCGGGAAGGACUGCAUGAUCAUGUUCGGCAUGAGGAAAGGCAGUACAAUAAAACAUACCAUGAAGCACUAUGGUGUCCGGACACUUACGGCUUCGCGAGGGGCUUGUCCCUGGGUAGCCACUCGUCGCCGCUGUCGUCGGCCGUCGUGGCACAGUCCGGAGGGAGGGUCUUUCCCUUCUUGGACCCUUCGGCCUCCCUGGAUGGGUCGACCUUCCUUUUCUUGUCUCCCCCGGCUGGGGGGGAGAGCUUUUCUCCUCCUCCUCGUUUCCGUGGGAGGAGUGCAUGUCAGAGUCAUCGGACGAUGAGCCCGAUGUAACCUUGCACCGGAGACCCUUUCGGGUCCCCGUGGCCUUCUUCUUGGCCUUCUUUUCCGGCACCUCGUAAGGUGCCGGAGUCAACAUCUUCGCUAGAAAAGCGUCUGCAGGAUCUUUGGGCAGGGGGGCUGGGCAAUCAAGCUGCUCCGCUGUCUCUCUCCAGUCCUGUUAAUAACAUGAAAGCUUAGAUCCAGCACAUAACUAAACCAGGGCGAAUAAAUACCCUGAGAGAUAUAAAAUCCUACCGGAUGGGCGCGGCGCUUUGCGCUGAGUCUGCGGUCCUCGGUAAGGGAGGGAGGCAUCUCGGCGCCCUUGAACAGCACCCUCCAGACGUCCUCGUGCGUCGUGUCGUAGAGCUCUCGUAGCGUCUGGUGCUUGGCCGAGUUGAACUCCCACAAAACAAAUGCCCGUCGUUGGCACGGAAGGAUCCGGUGGAAGAGCAUAACCUGGACCACCUUGACAAGCUUGAUUUUCUUGUUCGUCAUGUUCUGGAUGCAGGUCUGGAGUCCGGUCAGCUCUACCGCAGAACCCCAGGACAGACCCUUCUUUUUCCAGGAGGUGAGCCGCGUGGGGAUUCCGAAUUGAAAUUUGGGGGCCGCCACCCAGUUGGAGUCGCGCGGCUCGGUGAUGUAGAACCACCCCGAUUGCCACCCCUUUAUGGUAUCCACGUAGGUGCCCUCGAGCCAGGUGACAUUAGGCAUCUUGCCCACCAUGGCGCCUCCGCACUCUGCUUGCUGGCCACCCACCACCUUCAGUUUGACAUUGAAGGUUUUCAGCCAUAGGCCAAAGUGGGGCCUGAUGCGGAGGAAGGCCUCGCACAUGAUGAUAAACGCCGAGAUGUUGAGGAUGAAAUUGGGGGCCAGAUCAUGAAAAUCCAGCCCGUAGUAGAACAUGAGCCCACGGACAAACGGGUGGAGAGGAAAUCCCAGUCCGCGAACGAAAUGGGUAAGAAAAACUACCCUCUCAUGGGGUUCGGGCGUGGGGACGAUCUGCCCCGCAUUUGGCAGCCGGUGCGCGAUAUCCGCGGCCAAGUAUCCGGCUUCCCGUAACUUUUUGAUGUUCUCCUCCAUGACGGAGGAGACCAUCCACUUGCCUCCUGCUCCAGACAUGAUUGGAGUGGUUCGAGAAGAAGAACGCGAGCUUGGGCGCUAGAGCUCGAGUGUGCGGGAAUGGGUAAGAGAGAAGGAAGGAGGCGUGGGUGAAAAAGUAAAUCUUUGUCCCUUUAUAAGGGCAGAGGAGGCGAUGAUUCUCCCCACUUGGCUGGCAAAAACCGCUUAUUCCCCAGGCACCGUAAUUGAUGGCGCGGUUGGGUUACCCACGCCCGUAUUGAUGAGAAUCCCGUGAUAAGGGGAACAUGAUCUCUGCUUUGACAAGACGUAUCAAGAAAACUGCCUCGCGAUAUAUGUGGAGCUGGUUGAGAAAAGCGGUUUGAAUAAUAACCGGGGCCAUGGUGUGAUGUGAUGCUGUCAAAACGUGUCAGCAGAUUAGAUUUGUGGAAAUAUUAUUCUCUCUACGGUGGUAUGUGGAACUUAUUUUGCAGGGUCAGACACUAUCCUCAUAUUCAAACUCUUCCAUGGUGUAUUCGGAGGAGGACCCCGCCUUGCAAUGCCAAAGACAAUACUGCGCGCCGGACUCAUCGUCAUUGAAGCCUGGUUUAGGGGCUACUGAGGGAGUCCUGGAUUAGGGGGUCUCCGGACAGCCGGACUAUAUCCUUUGGCUGGACUGUUGGACUAUGAAGAUACGAGAUUGAAGACUUCGUCCCGUGUCCGGAUGGGACUCUACUUGGCGUGGAAGGCAAGCUAGGCAAUACAGAUAUGUAUAUCUCCUCCUUUGUAACCGACCUUGUGUAACCCUAGCCCCCUCCGGUGCCUAUAUAAAUCGGAGGGUUUUAGUCUGUAGGACAAGAUACAAUCAUACCAUAGGCUAGCUUUUAGGGUUUAGCCUCUCUGAUCUCGUGGUAGAUCGACUCUUGUAAUACUCAUAUCAUCAAGAACAAUCAAGCAGGACGUAGGGUAUUACCUCCAUCAAGAGGGCCCGAACAUGGGUAAACAUCGUGUCCCCUGCCUUCUGUUACCAUCCGCCUUAGACACACAGUUCGGGACCCCCUACCCGAGAUCCGCUGGUUUUGACACCGACACUUAUGCUACCAACCGAGCCUUGUUGUUGCGAACGGUAAUCCCAUGAUCAUCUUGCUUAUUCUUGAAUAUCCACUUGGUUCCAAUGACAUUAUGGUUCCCCGUUGGCCUUGGAACCAAUCUCCACACCUUGUUGUGCUCGAAGUUGUUGAGUUCUUCAUGCAUGACAUUAAGCCAAUCCGGAUCCUCGAGUGCCUCAUAGACCUUUUGGGGUUCAACACAAGACACAAACGCAUGAUGUUCACAAUAGUUUGCUAAUUGUCUAUGAGUGUUUACCCCCUUUCGUAUGCUUCCAAGCACAUUCAUCAUGAUAUGACCCUUGGUAGUGAGCUUGGAUGCAAUCUUGGCAGCACGAUGCUCCAAUUCCUCCUCAGGAGUGAGUUGAGGAGCGGUAACUUGAUCAUCUUGUGCGUUGUCUUGAGCUUGUUCUUGAUCUUGAUCUUUCUCUAGAUCUUGAACUUACUCGAAGGUGAGAACUUGAUCUUGGGCUUCACUUGGUGGUUCAACACCAUCUUGAGGUUGAUCUUGCCCUUGAUCUUGUUCAUGGGGUUGAGGGCCUUCACUUUGUUCUUUGGAAGCAUGUGGGUCUUGGGUUGGUGAUGGUUCCUAAGGGAGUCCUGGAUUAGGGGGUCUCCGGACAGCCGGACUAUAUCCUUUGGCCGGACUGUUGGACUAUGAAGAUAUGAGAUUGAAGACUUCGUCCCGUGUCCGGAUGGGACUCUACUUGGCGUGGAAGGCAAGCUAGGCAAUACAGAUAUGUAUAUCUCCUCCUUUGUAACUGACCUUGUGUAACCCUAGCCCCCUCCGGUGCCUAUAUAAACCGGAGGGUUUUAGUCCGUAGGACAAGAUACAAUCAUACCAUAGGCUAGCUUUUAGGGUUUAGCCUCUCUCAUCUCGUGGUAGAUCGACUCUUGUAAUACUCAUAUCAUCAAGAAUAAUCAAGCAGGACGUAGGGUAUUACCUCCAUCAAGAGGGCCCGAACCUGGGUAAACAUCGUGUCCCCUGCCUCCUGUUACCAUCCGCCUUAGACGCACAGUUCGGGACCCCCUACCCGAGAUCUGCCGGUUUUGACACCGACAUUGGUGCUUUCAUUGAGAGUUCCACUGUGUCGUCACCAUAAGGCUUGAUGGCUCCUUCGAUCAUCGCUAGCGAUGCGGUCCAGGGUGAGGCUUUCCUCCCCGGACAGAUCUUCAUAUUCGGCGGCUAUGCACUGCGGGCCAAUUCGCUUGGCCUUCUGGAGCAGAUUGAGAGCUACGCCCCUGGCCAUCAGGUCAGAUUCGGAAACUUGAACUACACGGCCAACAUCCGUGGAGACUUGAUCUUCGACGGAUUCGGGCCCAUGUCGGACGCGCCGUGCAGUCGUGACGAGCAUGACGUAACUCUGCCAUCGGACAAUGUUUGGGAGAUCGCAUCCGCAACUACUCCAUCCAUCAAUUCGGAGCAAGUCGCUCCAUCCGAGAGCGAAGGGAUGGACCCCGCCAUGGAGGCCGCACUCUCAGUGGCGUUAGAGCCGGAUACUGACUUGACUUCUUACGAGAGCCGUGUCGCCGAACCACUUGAUUCAUCUCCGGCCAUGGACUCCGAGCCGCUCAUAUCCGUGCCCGUCGAAUCCGACUGGGCGCCGAUCAUGGAGUUCACCUCCGCGGAUAUCUUUCAGCACUCACCUUUAGGAGAUGUGCUAAAUUCAUUAAGGUCUCUCUCCCUGUCAGGAGAACCUUGGCCGAACUAUGUCCGGCUAGAAUGGGAUGCGGACGACGAAGAAAUUCGCUGCCCACCCACCACCCACUUAGUAGCCACUGUCGAUGACUUAACUGACAUGCUCGACUUUGGCUCCGAAGACUUCGACGGUAUGGACGACAAAGCCGGAGACGAACAGGAUCCACCGCCCUCGGGGCACUGGAACACCACCUCAUCAUAUGAUAUAUACAUGGUGGACACCCCCAAAGAAGCCAAUGGCGAUGAGACAGCGGAGGAUGACCCCUCCAAGAAGCAACCCAAGCGCCAACGUCAGCGGAGCCGCUCUAAGUCCCUCCACAGCAAGAGCAGUGAUACCGACACAGGAGAUAAUAACACUCCGGAUAGCGCCGAAGACAACAACAAUCCCCUCCAGCACGGUGCAGAGCUAGAGGACGAACAACCUAGCCCUCCAGAGCAGGCAGCAGAUGGAUAACCGGAGGAGGACAAUUACAUGCCUCUCUCCGAAGACGAGGCGAGCCUCAGCGACGACGAGUUUAUCGUGCCUAAGGACCCCGUCGAGCAAGAGCGCUUCAAGCGCCGCCUUAUGGCCACGGCAAAUAGCCUAAAGAAGAAACAACAACAGCUUCAAGCUAAUCAAGACUUGCUAGCAGACAGGUGGACCGAAGUCCUUGCGGCCAAGGAGCAUGAACUCGAGCGCCCGUCCAAGAGUUACCCAAAGCGCAGGUUACUACCUCACCUUGAGGAGGAAGCAUUGAAACCUCAUUCACCAGUGUACGAUGCGGCUGACCAGCCACUACGCGGCCGAGCCAAGGAGGCAUUUCAGCCUAAAGAUCAGACCGCACCCCGUCGCCACUCAGUCAAAAAUACCAAGGCCCGGGGCAACACAGAGGACCUACGAGAUAUCUUCGACAGUAAGGCAAAAAUUGCAAGGUCAAUAUAUGGGACACGGGCACGUGCGCCCACAUGGGACGAUGAUCGUCGCGUCGGAUACACCAAGAGUAAAUCCGGCCGGGCCGAAUAUAGCAGACAAGACUCAUACGAACUACGUCGGGAUAUAGCCCGGCACAGAGGUGCCGCACACCCCCUAUGCUUCACUGAUGAAGUUAUGAAUCAUGAAUUCCCGGAGGGUUUCAAACCCGUAAAUAUCGAAUCAUACGAUGGCACAACAGAUCCCGCUGUAUGGAUUGAAGAUUUCCUCCUUCACAUCCACAUGGCUCGCGGUGAUGAUCUACAUGCCAUCAAGUACCUCCCACUAAAACUCAAAGGACUAGCUCGGCAUUGGCUGAAUAGCUUGCCCGCAGAUUCUGUUGGCAGUUGGGAGGAUCUGGAAGAUGCAUUUAUUGACAACUUCCAGGGCACUUAUGUGCGGCUGCCGGAUGUUGAUGACUUGAGCCACAUAACCUAGCAGCCAGGGGAAUCGGCCAAACAAUUUUGGAUAUGGUUCCUGACUAAGAAAAAUCAAAUUGUAGACUGCUCGGAUGCAGAGGCCCUAGCGAACAUUCAAGCAUAACAUCCGCGACGAGUGGCUCGCCCGCCACCUCGGCCAGGAGAAGCCAAAAUCUUUGGCAGCCCCCACGACACUCAUGACCCGCUUUUGCAUGGGCGAGGACAGCUGGCUGGCUCGCAGCAACAACACAUCAAGGAAUCCGGAUACCUCGGAUACCAAAGAUGCUAACGGUAGGCAGCGUCGUAAUAGACCAAAGCGCCGCAAUAACGGCGAUAACACCGAAGAUACGGCAGUUAAUGCUAGAUUCAAAGGCUCUAGAUCCGGUCAGCAGAAAAAGCCAUUUAAAAGAAACACUCCGGCUCCAUCCAGUCUGGGUCGCAUACUGGAUCGCUCGUGUCAAAUCCACGGCACCCCCGACAAGCCAGCCAAUCACACCAACAGAGAAUGCUGGGUGUUCAAGCAGGCCGGUAAGUUAAAUGCCGAGAAUAAUGACAAGGGGCCGCACAGUGAUGACGAGAAGGAGCCCCGGCCGCCGAACACAGGAGGACAGAAGGGGUUUCCCCCACAAGUGAAUACGAUGAACAUGAUAUACGCAACCCACAUUCCCAAGAGGGAGCGGAAGCGUGCACUAAGGGACGUCUACGCGAUGGAGCCCGUCGCCCCAAAGUUCAACCCAUGGUCUGCCUGUCCGAUCACCUUCGAUCACAGGGACCACCCCACUAGCAUCCAUCAUGGUGGAUCCGCCGCACUGGUCCUAGACCCCAUCAUUGACGGAUUUCACCUCACUCGAGUCCUUAUGGAUGGCGGCAGCAGCCUGAACCUGCUUUAUCAGGAUAUAGUGCAAAAAAUGGGUAUGAUCCCUCGAGAAUCAAACCCAGAAAAACCACCUUUAAAGGUGUCAUCCCAGGUGUAGAGGCCCAUUGCAUAGGCUCAAUCACAUUGGAAGUGGUCUUCAGAUCAUCGGAUAACUUCUGAAGUGAAGAGUUAAUCUUCGACAUCGUCCCAUUUCGCAGUGGCUACCAUGCACUGCUCGAACGGACAACAUUUGCAAAAUUCAAUGCAGUGCCACAUUACGCAUACCUCAAGAUCAAGAUGCGAGGACCUCGCAGGGUUAUAACAGUAAAUGGAAACACAGAACGCUCGCUUUGUAUGGAAGAGCACACUGCGGCCCUUGCAGCAGAGGCACAAAGCAACCUGUUCAGGCAGACCACUCAUUCAGUGUCACAGCCCCCGGACACCUUCAAGUGAGUCCAAAACAAGCUGCAAAAGGAUCGCCUGGCAUGAUCAGAGCUCGCCUAGCAAUCCGGCCCCAGUCCCAGUCCCAGUGAAGCGACGAAAACCGCGCCGCACGUACAUAACUACGCAUUGAAAAUACCAUGAACAUAGGCGGCGGCACAAUCAGGACACGUCAUGCAUUGUGGCUUAACCACACUAGGGGUUGUACACCUGUGACAUUCCUUUCCUCUUUCAGGGCCUAACUCUUUGGAAGCCCUUUCCGGCAGUACGAUUGUCGGACAUAUUCCGGAAGCAACAACCAAGGCGGCAAGAAGCUAGGAUGAACACGGGAACCGCCAGGUGGUCUCUAGUAAUACUUGAUAUACCCAUUUUCACUAUUUAUGCAUAGCUUGCCCUGGGAUAGGACAUUUCGAAUUGUCCUACUUUAUGCUUAUUGCACUACUUGUACUAGUACGCUUCGACGUAUUAUUCAAAUAACAAUGCAUAUCAUUAAUCUGUCAUUGCAUUAUUUAAGUUUUUCUCUUUUCUCUUAUACGUCCAUUUACGACAAUCCGCACCCGCACGUUCGGGUACGGUCAGUACGCCAGGGGCUCUCGUUUACCCCACAAUACGGUGCAGGAAGUCCGAACACUUUCGACAGUGUGGCACCCCGAACUUAUAGCAUUAUAUGCAUCAGCUCCGAAUCAUGUCUUUGGUCAAAUGUUGGGUCACCCGGCUCCCAUGCUUUGGUACCUUACGUUCCGCUAUAUCGGCUAAGGUAGCGGUGGGAGAACUACUCCGAUUGUGUCCCGGUUCUUCCGGACGAGCACCUUAGUAGAGAAAGCCAAAAACUGACUAUCAUGAUAAGGCGAGAGACUGGUCGUUGUUCGAGAGGUCUCAAGUCCUUAAAGACUUUUUCCGCUUCGGGCUAGGAGUCGGCCUUGUCCAGCUUAGGCGUGUAUAGCGCCCCAAAUUCGGCCCUCCGAAUACCAGGGGCUUCGCCAAAAAUUUAAAAUUAUAGACUUCUAUGGCUAAGUGAGAGUGAUAAAGCAUUAUAGUCUGAUUGCCUGGUUCGUUGAUGAACACCUCCCUUGAAGGACCCAAAAUUGGGGUAAAGAGUGUUCAGAUUUACCCCGAACACCCCAGUACUAGUUACAUGGGGGUAGAAGCCGACGACUGGCCAACUCUCAGAUUUUAUAAAAACGGCCACACAGAAGGUAAUAUUUUAAAUUAAGAAAGCGUCGCAUGGCGCAAAAGAACUCGUUUCAUAUUACAGGAUCACAUGGGCAUGUUCAUUCGAAAAUUACAUCCUUGGCACACUCAUCUGCCACUAAGCGGGAACCCUUCAGGACACUCUCACAGUAAUUCUCGGGACAGCGAUGCUCCUUGCCCUCCGGCGGCCCCUCCUUCACCAGCUUCACGGCAUCCAGCUUUGCCAGUGCACCUUCGCUCGGGCAAAAGCCUUGCGUGCACCUUUGAUGCAGACGGACCGCUUGAUGACUUCAAGCCGUGGGCAGGCUUCCACAAGCCGCCUCACCAAACCGAAGUAGCUGCCGGACAGGGGCUCGCCAGGCCACAUCCGGACUAUAAGGCCCCUCAUGGCCUUUUCGGCUGCCUUGUGAAGUUCGACCAACUGCUUUAGCUGGUCGCUCAAGGACACGGGGUGUUCGGUCCCAGUAUACUGAGACCAGAACAACUUCUCCGCUGAGCUCCCUUCCUCAGCCCGGUAAAACUCCGCGGCAUCCAGUACAUUGCGGGGAAGAUCUGCAAACGCUCCUAGAGAGCUCCGAACUCGGGUAAGAAAAAGGAAAGUCUCCUUCACAUGCUUGCUUUGCAUAUUGAAUGCCUUACCCGCUGCUAUCUUCUUCGCCGCGUCAAUCUCCUGGAGGGCCUUGUGGGCUUCGGCCUUGGCGCUCCGGACGCUUUCAAGCGCCUGCGCAAGCUCGGACUCUCGCAUCUUGGAGUCAAGCUCCAAGGACUCGUGCUUUUUGGCGAGAGCCUCGAGCUCUUGCUGCACCUCGCCUACUCGGGCUUCUUGUUUCUCCCGUUCCAGGCGUUCUUUAGCCGCUUUGUCUUCGGCCUCGGACACCGCCUUCCUCAGGGUCUCCACCUCGGUCGUGGCCCCUGACAAACUCAUGAAUAUCCUAUUACUUUACACCCGAACUUCUUUUUAACUAUAUAGACGGGGGUAUAUCUUAGCUUUGCUCUCUUCGAGCUGCCCCUUGGUGAGGCUGAGCUCGUCCUCAUACCGCUUCAGGGCCUGCUUCAGCGUAGAAACCUCCACAGUACGUGCGGCAGCGGACAAUAGUGAAGCAUGCACAUACACAUAGACAUACUCUAAUUAGACUCCUGAGUUAUCAUUUGAUCCUCUAUUCGGCUUUUCUUCACGAACGCCGAACAGAGCAUCAGGGGCUACUAUCUGUGCAGUAAUAUUUUCUUAUAUUUUGAAUGCUUACCUCAAAGCCUGUUAGGAGGCUGGCACAAGUUUCGGUCAGUCCGUUUUUGGCGGACUGAACCUUCUUGACCACCGCACUCAUGAUAGUGCGGUACUCUUCUGCGAUGGAAGCGCUGCGAAGCGCUUACAGCAAGGUGUCCGGUGCCUCUGGUUGGACAGAGGACACCGGCACGGAUGGUUGGCCCCCCUUAAUGGGGGACCGCCUGCCGGAGUCCGGAACCAUCGAAGGUUCUGGCGCAGUGUCCGGCUGGGGCCUGAACUCGAAACCCGUAGGAGCCUCGCUCCCUUGGUACCCAGGGUCCAGGAGGUCGCCGUGAGGCGCUCCCAUGAUCACCUCCCCUUGGCUCGGUGCCUUUUGAGACAACACCUCGGCGUUGUCCGUACGGCGAGGGGUGAAAGCCGUUGAAGGAGAACCGUUGUUCAUAUCCGACGAGUCCAAAGAGCGCUCGAUGAGGGUACGUCGAGAUGAGCUCGAGACGGACUGCAUAAUCAUGUUCGGCAUGAGGAAAGGUAGUACAAUAAAACAUACCAUGAAGCACUAUGGUGUCCGGUCACUUACGACUUCGCCAGGGGCUUGUCUCUGGGUAGCCACCCGUCGCCGCUGUCGGCGGCCGUCGUGGCACAGUCCGGAGGGAGGGUCUUUCCCUUCUUGGACCCUUCGGCCUCCCCGGAUGGGUCAGCCUUCCUUUUCUUGUCUCCCUUGGCUGGAGGGGAGAGCUUUUCUCCUCCUCCUCGUUUCCGUGGGAGGAGUGCGCGUCGGAGUCAUCGGACGAUGAGCCCGAUGUAACCUUGCGUCGGAGACCCUUUCGGGUCCCCGUGGCCUUCUUCUUGGCCUUCUUUUCCGGCACCUCAUAAGGUGCCGGAGUUAGCAUCUUCGUUAGAAGAGCAUCUGCAGGAUCUUCGGGCAGGGGGGCUGGGCAAUCAAGCUGCUCCGCUGUCUCUAUCCAGUCAUGUUAAUAACAUGAAAGCUUAGAUCCAGCACAUAACUAAACCAGGGCGAAUAAAUACCCUGAGAGAUAUAAAAGCCUACCGGAUGGGCGCGAUGCUUUGCGCUGAGUCUGUGGUCCUCGAUAAGGGAGGGAGGCAUCUCGGCGCCCUUGAACAACACCCUCCAGACGUGCUCGUGCAUCGUGUCGUAGAGCUGUGCAGCGUCUGGUGCUUGGCCGAGUCGAACUCCCACAAAACAAAUGCCCGUCGUUGGCAUGGAAGGAUCCGGCGGAAGAGCAUAACCUGGACCACGUUCACGAGCUUGAUUUCCUUGUUCGUCAUGUUCUGGAUGCAGGUCUGGAGUCCGGUCAGCUCUACCGCGGAACCCCAGGACAGACCCUUCUUUUUCCAAGAGGUGAGCCGCGUGGGCAUUGCGGAUCGAAAUUUGGGGGCCGCCACCCAUUUGGAGUCGCGCGGCUCGGUGAUGUAGAACCACCCCGAUUGCCACCCCUUUAUGGCAUCCACGUAGGUGCCCUCGAGCCAGGUGACAUUAGGCAUCUUGCCCACCAUGGCGCCUCCGCACUCUGCUUGCUGGCCACCCACCACCUUCGGUUUUACAUUCAAGGUUUCAGUCAUAGGCCGAAGUGGGGCCUGAUGCGGAGGAAGGCCUCACACACGACAAUAAACGCCCAGAUCAUGAAAAUCCAGCCCGUAGUAGAACAUGAGCCCGUGGACAAAUGGGUGGAGAGGAAAUCCUAGUCCGCGGACGAAAUGGGUAAGAAAAACUACCCUCUCAUGGGGUUCGGGCGUGGGGACGAUCUGCCCCGCAUUUGGCAGCCAGUGCACGAUAUCCGCGGCCAAGUAUCCGGCUUCCCGUAACUUUUUGAUGUUCUCCUCCGUGAUGGAGGAGACCAUCCACUUGCCUCCUGCUCCGGACAUGAUUGGAGUGGUUCAAGAAGAAGAACGCGAGCUUGGGCGCUAGAGCUCGAGUGUGCGGGAAUGGGUAAGCGAGGAGGAAGGAGGCGUGGGUGAAAAAAGUAAAUCUUUGUCCCUUUAUAAGGGCGGAGGAGGCGAUGAGUCUCCCCACUUGGCUGGCAAAAACCGCUUAUUCCCCAGGCGCCGUAAUUGAUGGCGCGGUUGGGUUACCCACGCCCGUAUUGAUGAGAAUCUCGUGAUAAGGGGAACACGAUCUCUGCUUUGACAAGACGUAUCAAGAAAACUGCCUCGCAAUAUGUGCGGAGCUGGUUGAGAAAAGCGGUUCGAAUAAUAACCGGUCCAUGGUGUGAUGUGAUGCUGUGAAAACGUGUCAGCAAAUUAGAUUUGUGGAAAUAUUAUUCUCUCUACGGUGGUAUGUGGAACUUAUUUUGCAGGGUCAAACACUAUCCUCAUAUUCAAACUCUUCCAUGGUGUAUUCGGAGGAGGACCCCGCCUUGCAAUGCCGAAGACAAUACCGCGCGCCGGACUCAUCGUCAUUGAAGCCUACUUCAGGGGCUACUGAGGGAGUCCUGGAUUAGGGGGUCUCUGGACAGCCGGACUAUAUCCUUUGCCCGGACUGUUGGACUAUGAAGAUACGAGAUUGAAGACUUCAUCCCGUGUCCGGAUGGGACUCUACUUGGCGUGGAAGGCAAGCUAGGCAAUACGGAUAUGUAUAUCUCCUCCUUUGUAACUGACCUUGUGUAACCCUAGACCCUCCGGUGCCUAUAUAAACCGGAGGGUUUUAGUCCGUAGGACAAGAUGCAAUCAUACCAUAGGCUAGCUUUUAGGGUUUAGCCUCUCUGAUCUCGUGGUAGAUCGACUCUUGUAAUACUCAUAUCAUCAAGAACAAUCAAGCAGGACGUAGGGUAUUACCUCCAUCAAGAGGGCCCGAACCUGGGUAAACAUCGUGUCCCCUGCCUCCUAUUACCAUCCGCCUUAGACGCACAGUUCGGGACCCCCUACCCGAGAUCCGCCGGUUUUGACACCGACAGUUCCACUUGAGUGGAACAUUGUCCUUCUCCUUCAGCCAUAAGGGGUUCCUCAACAGGUAGGAUAAAACCAACACCCAUUCUUCUUAUGGCUUGGGGAGGAAUUUCAUCACCUACAUCACAAUGUACCACUUUGGUCCACAUGGGAGAUGUUAUUCUCAUCAAACUCCACGUUACACGUCUCCUCAAUAAGUCCCGUGGACUUAUUGAGGACACGGUAAGAAUGAGAGUUUGUAGCAUAACCAAAAAAAUAUGCCAUCAUAAGCUCUAGCCUCAAAUUUAGACAAACGAACACCUUUCUUGAGAAUGAAACACUUACACCCGAACACCCGAAAGUACUUGAGGUUGGGUUGUUACCGGUCAGUAUCUCAUAUGGAUUUUUGUUAAAGCCUUUGCGGAGAUAGAGCCGAUUGGAUGCAUGACAUGCCGUGUUGAUGGCUUCGUCCCAAAAGUUGUAAGGAUACUUGAACUCCGCCAUCAUGGUCCUUGCCGCAUCCGUCAACGUCCGGUUCUUCCUAUCCGCUACACCAUUUUAUUGAGGGGUGUAAGGUGCGGAAUAUUGAUGCUUGAUCCCCUCAUGACUAAGAAACUCAUCCAAGGUGUAGUUCUUGAACUCGGUGCCGUUGUCACUUAUCGUCAAAAUCUUUACAUUGUGUUGGCGUUGAGCUUAAUUUGCAAAGUUAAUGGCGGUUUGUUGGGUCUCACUCUUCCUCUUGAAGAAGUAUACCCAAGUGUAUCUUGAAUAAUCAUCCACAAUCACCAAGCAAUACUUUCUACUCCCAAGACUAUCAAAGGAUGGAGGCCCAAAGAGAUCGAAGUGAAGGAGUUCCAAAGGCCUCUUCGAGUAAACGAUAGUCGUGGGAGGGUGAGCCUUCUCAUGUAGCUUUCCUUCGAUACAAGCACUGCAAGCAUGGUCUUUGGCAAAACUAACAUUUGUUAGUCCACAGACAUGGUCCCCUUGAGAAGACUUUGCAAAGAUCUCAUAUUGACAUGGGCUAAACGGCGAUGCCAAAGCCAUCCCACGUCAACUUUAUCCAUUAGGCAUGUCGUGGUCUUAGUGGGUCGCUCCGAAAAUUUAAUCACAUAGAGAACGUUCUUGACAUGCCCAACAAAGGCUACUUUAAGAGUCUUGCUCCACAAGAGGGCCAUGAUACGUCUCCAACGUAUCUAUAAUUUUUGAUUGCUCCAUGCUAUAUUAUCUACUGUUUUGGACUAUAUUGGGCUUUAUUUUCCACUUUUAUAUUAUUUUUGGACUAAUCUAUUAACCGGAGGCCCAGCCCAGAAUUGCUGUUUUUUUGCCUAUUUCAGUGUUUCGAAGAAACAGAAUAUCAGACGGAGUCCAAACGGAAUAAAAUCUUUGGGAACGUGAUUUUCUCACCGAAUGUGAUCCAGGAGACUUGGACCCUGCUCCCAGGAACAAAAGAGGCGGUCGCGAGGGUGGAGGGCGCCCCCCCUAGGGUGCGCCCCCUGCCUCGUGGGCCCCUCGUUGCUCCUCACUUCUUCCUCCUAUAUAUACACACGUACCCCCAAACGAUCAGAAUAGGAGCCAAAAACCUAAUUCCACCACCGCAACUUUCUGUAUCCACGAGAUCCCAUCUUGGGGCCUGUUCCGGAGCUCCGCCGGAAGAGGGCCGUCAUCACGGAGGGCUUCUACAUCAUCCUAGCCUCUCCGAUGAAGUGUGAGUAGUUUACCUCAGACCUUCGGGUCCAUAGUUAGUAGCUAGAUGGCUUCUUCUCUCUUUUUGGAUCUCAAUACAAUGUUCUCCCCCUCUCUUGUGGAGAUCUAUUCGAUGUAAUCUUCUUCUUUUGCGGUGUGUUUGUUGAGACCGAUGAAUUGUGGGUUUAUGAUCAAGUCUAUCUAUGAACAAUAUUUGAAUCUUCUCUGAAUUCUUUUAUGUAUGAUUGGUUAUCUUUGCAAGUCUCUUCGAGUUUCGUUUGGUUUGGCCAACUAGAUUGGUAGUUCUUGCCAUGGGAGAAGUGCUUAGCUUUGGGUUCGAUCUUGCGGUGUUCUUUCCCAGUGACAGAAGGGGCAGCAAGACACGUAUUGUAUCGUUGCCAUCGAGGAUAACAAGAUGGGGUUUAUUUCAUAUUGCAUGAAUUUAUCUCUCUACAUCAUGUCAUCUUGCUUAAAGUGUUACUCUGUUUUUAACUUAAUACUCUAGAUGCAUGCUGGAUAGCGGUCGAUGAGUGGAGUAAUAGUAGUAGAUGCAGAAUCAUUUCGGUCUACUUGUCACGGACGUGAUGCCUAUAUACAUGAUCAUGCCUAGAUAUUCUCAUAACUAUGCUCAAUUCCGUCAAUUGCUCAACAGUAAUUUGUUCACCCACCGUAGAAAACUUAUGCUCUCGAGAGAAGCCACUAGUGAAACCUAUGGCCCUCGGGUCUAUUCUCAUCAUAUCAAUCUCCAUCACUUUUAUAUUGUUUUGCUAUUUACUUUGCUUUUUACUUUUUACUUUGCAUCUUUAUAUCAAAAAUACCAAAAAUAUUCUAUCUAUCAGAUCUCACUCUCGUAAGUGACCGUGAAGGGCUUGACAACCCCUAAUCGUGUUGGUUGCGGGUAGCUAUCGCUUUGUGCAGGUACGAGGGACUUGAGCGUGGGCUCCUACUGGAUUGAUACCUUGGUUCUCAAAAACUGAGGGAAAUACUUACGCUACUCAGCUGCAUCAUCCCUUCCUCUUCGGGGAAAACCAACGCAAGCUCAAGACGUAGCAAGAAGGAUUUCUGGCGCCGUUGCCGGGGAGUCUACGCAAAAAGUCAACAUACCAAGUACCCAUCGCAAUCCCUAUCUCUCGCAUUACAUUAUUUGCCAUUUGCCUCUCAUUUUCCUCUCCCCCAAUUCACCCUUGCCGUUUUAUUCGCCCUCUCUUUCUCUCUCUAUCCUCCCUCUCGUUUGCUAUUUGCCUCUUUUGCCCGUUUCUUGUUUGCUCGUAUGGUUGGAAUAGUCAUUUAUUUAUUACUAAACAGAGAACUAAUAUCUAUGGAUCCUCAUCCGCUUGUCAAUCUUUUUAAGAGAUCCAAUUAUGAUGAACCAAUUCCUAGUGAUUUGGAUGCACAAGAUUAUCUUUAUAAGCUUUUGCCUGAAAUCCAUAAAUCUGAAAAUUGUGAUGAAGUGCUUCACGAUAGAUCUUUGAAUAAAAAGCAUGACUGCAAUGAUUUUAUUAUAAAUUCUCUUGAUGUCAAUUGUGCUAAUAAUAUGCAAAACCCUAAGCUUGGGGAUGCUAGUUUUGCUAUGUCCUCUACUUGUUGCAAUGAUCAUGAUUGGGGUGAUUCUUCUUUUGAUCUUGAAAAUUUAUUUAAACCCCAUGAUGAAUAUGAGAUUGAUUAUAAUGUUUGCAAUAAUUUUGGAAGUGGGUUUGGAAGAAUGUCAACUUUAGCUCCCACAUAUUUGGAGAAUGUUCAAUCUUAUGAAGUUUUUGAUAAAAGUGGGUUUGGAAAGGUCGUGACUUUAGUUAAUGUUAAUCCCACUAUUUUGGAAGAGUGUCAACUUUGCACGCAUGUGGAUUGUGUUGAAAAUAUUUUAUGUGAUAGCUAUUUUGUUGAAUUUACUUAUGAUCCUACAUAUAAUUAUUAUGAGAAAGUAAAAUAUGGUGGUAGAAAUUUCCAUGUUACUAAAUUACCUCUCGUUAUGUUGAGAUUGCUAUUGUUUCCUUCCGCUUCCUUGCAUAUGCUAGUUUUCGCUUGCCUUGAUAAUUUGUUUGCCUAUAAAAUGCCUAUUCAUAGGAAGUAUGUUAGACUUGGAUGUGUUUGUCACGUGUUUUAUGAUGCUCUGUUUGUGCUUCAAUUCUUGUCUUUCAUGUGAGCAUCAUUAAAAUUAUCAAUGCCUAGCUUUAAGGAUUUAAAGAAAAGUGCUUGUUGGGAGUCAACCCAAUAUUUAUCCUUGCUGUCAUUUAAUAAAUAAAUUAUUUAGCCUCUGUUUUGGUUGUGUUUUUUUGUGUUUAAUUAGUGUUUGUGCCAAGUAGAACCUUUGGGAAGACUUGGGGAAAGUCUUGUUGAACUUGCUGUAAAAAACAGAAACUUUAGCGCUCAUGAGAACUGCUGUCAUUUUUAUUUGAAGAGUGCUAUUUAGUUAAUUAUUUUUGCAGAUGAUUAAUAGAUAAAUUCCUCACGUCCAGCAUUUUAUUUUAGAAUUUUUGGGGUUCCAGAUCUUGCGCUAGCUACAGAUUACUACAGACUGUUCUGUUUUUGACAGAUUCUGUUUUUCGUGUGUUGUUUGCUUAUUUUGAUGAAUCUAUGGCUAGUAAAAUAGUUUAUAAUCCAUAGAGAAGUUGGAAUACAGUAGCUUUAACACCAAUAUAAAUAAAUAAUGAGUUCAUUACAGUACCUUGAAGUGGUCUUUUGUUUUCUUUCGCUAACGGAGCUCACUUGUUUUCUAUUUUGAGUUUUGUGUUGUGAAGUUUUCAAGUUUUGGGUGAGUUCUUUUGAUGGAUUAUGGAACAAGGAGUGGCAAGAGACUAAGCUUGGGGAUGCCCAUGGCACCCCCAAGAUAAUCCAAGGACACCAAAAAGUCAAAGCUUGGGGAUGCCCCGGAAGGCAUCCCCUCUUUCGUCCACUUCCAUCGAUAAUUUACUUGGAGCUAUAUUUUUAUUCACCAACAUGAUAUGUGUUUUGCUUGGAGCGUCUUGUAUUAUUUGUGUCUUUUUUUGUUAGUAUGCCACAAUCAUCCUUGCUUUACACACCUUUUGAGAGAGUCAUCUAUGAAUUAAAAUUUGAUAGAAUACUCUAUGUGCUUCACUUAUAUCUUUUGAGCUAUGUAGUUUUGCUCUACGUACUUCACUUAUAUCUUUUGAGCGUUAUAAUUUUGCUCUAUGUGCUUCACUUAGAUCUUUUAGAUCACGGUGGUGGUUUGUUUUAAAUAAACUAUUGAUCUCUCAUGCUUCACUUAAAUUAUUUUGAGAGUCUUAAUAGCAUGGUAAUUUGCUUAACAUAAAUAUGCUUAGUGUUCAAGAUAUGUGAAAUUUUCUUUUGAGUGCGUUGAAUACUAAGAGAAGAUUGAAGCAUGAUAAUUGUUUUGAGAUAUGGAGGUGAUAAUAUUAGAGUUAUGCUAGUUUAGUAGUUGUGAAUUUAAAGAAUACUUGUGUUAAAGUUUGUGAUUCCCGUAGCAUGCACGUAUGGUGAACCGUUAUGUGAUGAAGUCGGAGCAUAAUUUAUUUAUUGAUUGUCUUCCUUAUGAGUGGCGGUCGGGGACGAGCGAUGGUAUUUUCCUACCAAUCUAUCCCCCUAUGAGGAUGUGCGUAAUACUUUGAUUUGAUAACUUCUAGAUUUUUGCAAUAAGUAUAUGAGUUCUUUAUGACUAAUGUUGAGUCCAUGGAUUAUAUGCACUUUUUCCCAUCCUUCCACCAUUGCUAGCCUCUCUAAUACCGCGCACCUUUCGCCGGUAUCAUACACCCACCAUAUACCUUCCUCAAAACAGCCACCAUACCUACCUAUCAUUUCAUUUCCAUAGCCAUUCCGAGAUAUAUUGCCAUGCAACUUUCCACCGUUCUGUUUAUUAUGACACGCUCCAUCAUUGUCAUAUUGCUAGCAUGAUCAUGUAGUUGACAUUGUAUUUGUGGCAAAGCCACCAUUCAUAAUUCUUUCAUACAUGUCACUCUUGAUUCAUUGCAUCUCCCGGUACACCGCCGGAGGCAUUGAUAUAGAGUCAUAUUUGUUCUAAGUAUCGAGUUGUAAUUGUUGAGUUGUAAGAAAAAUAAAAGUGUGAUGAUCAUCAUUUUCUAGAGCAUUGUCCCAAGUGAGGAAAGGAUGAUGGAGACUAUGAUUCCCCCAUAAGUCGGGAUGAGACUCCGGACGAAAAAUAAAUAAAAGAGGCCAAAGAAGCCCAAAAAAAGAGAGAAAGAAAAGAGGCCAUAAAAAAGAAGAAAAGGCCCAAAUAAAAAUAAAUAAAUAAAAAAUGAGAGAAAAAAGAGAGAAGGGACAAUGUUACUAUCCUUUUACCACACUUGUGCUUCAAAGUAGCACCAUGAUCUUCAUAGUAGAGAGUCUCUCAUGUUAUCACUUUCAUAUACUAGUGGGAAUCUUUCAUUAUAGAACUUGGCUUGUAUAUUCCAAUGACGGGCUUCCUCAAAUUGCCCUAGGUCUUCAUGAGCAAGCAAGUUGGAUGCACACCCACUUAGUUUCUUUUUGAGCUUUCAUAUACUUAUAGCUCUAGUGCAUCCGUUGCAUGGCAAUCCCUACUCACUCACAUUGAUAUCUAUUGAUGGGCAUCUCCAUAGCCCGUUGAUACGCCUAGUUGAUGCGAGACUAUCUUCUCCUUUUUGUCUUCUCCACAACCACCAUUCUAUUCCACCUAUAGUGCUAUAUCCAUGGCUCACACUCAUGUAUUGCGUGAAGAUUGAAAAAGUUAGAGUAUGAAACAAUUGCUUGGCUGGUCAUCGGGGUUGUGCAUGAUUUAAAUACUUUGUGUGGUGAAGAUAGAGCAUAGCCAGACUAUAUGAUUUUGUAGGGAUAACUUUCUUUGGCCAUGUUAUUUUGAGAAGACAUAAUUACUUUAUUAGUAUGCUUGAAGUGUUAUUAUUCUUUAUGUCAAUAUGAACUUUUGUCUCAAAUCUUUCUAAUCUGAAUAUCCAUACCACAAUUAAGAAAUUUUGCAUUGAAAGUAUGCCAAGUAGCACUCCGCAUCAAAAAUUCUCUUUUUAUCAUUUACCUACUUGAGGACGAGCAGGAAUUAAGCUUGGGGAUGCCUGAUACGUCUCCAAUGUAUCUAUAAUUUUUGAUUGCUCCAUGCUAUAUUAUCUACUGUUUUGGACUAUAUUGGGCUUUAUUUUCCACUAUUAUAUUAUUUUUGGGACUAACUUAUUAACCGGAGGCCCAGCCCAGAAUUGAUGUUUUUUGCCUAUUUCAGUGUUUCGAAGAAACAGAAUAGCAGACGGAGUCCAAACGGAAUAAAAUCUUCGGGAACGUGAUUUUCUCACCGAACGUGAUCCAGGAGACUUGGACCCUACUCCAGGUGGUCACGAGGGCGGGGGGCGCCCCCCCUAGGGCGCGCCCCCUGCCUCGUGGGCCCCUCGUUGCUCCUCCGGCGUACUUCUUCCUCCUAUAUAUAUACAUGUACCCCCAAACGAUCAGAACAGGAGCCAAAAACCUAAUUCCACCGCUGCAACUUUCUGUAUCCAUGAGAUCCCAUCUUGGGGCAUGUUUCGGAGCUCCGCCGAAAGAGGGCCGUCAUCACGGAGGGAUUCUACAUCAUCCUAGCCUCUCCGAUGAAGUGUGAGUAGUUUACCUCAGACCUUCAGGUCCAUAGUUAGUAGCUAGAUGGCUUCUUCUCUCUUUUUGGAUCUCAAUACAAUGUUCUCCCCCUCUCUUGUGGAGAUCUAUUCGAUGUAAUCUUCUUCUUUUGCGGUGUGUUUGUUGAGACCGAUGAAUUGUGGGUUUAUGAUCAAGUCUAUCUAUGAACAAUAUUUGAAUCUUCUCUGAAUUCUUUUAUGUAUGAUUGGUUAUCUUUGCAAGUCUCUUCGAAUUAUCCGUUUGGUUUGGCCAACUAGAUUGGUAGUUCUUGCCAUGGGAGAAGUGCUUAGCUUUGGGUUCGAUCUUGCGGUGUUAUUUCCCAGUGACAGAAGGGGCAUCAAGACACAUAUUGUAUCAUUGCCAUCGAGGAUAACAAGAUGGGGUUUAUUUCAUAUUGCAUGAAUUUAUCUCUCUACAUCAUGUCAUCUUGCUUAAAGCGUUACUCUGUUUUUAACUUAAUACUCUAGAUGCAUGCUGGAUAGCGGUCGAUGAGUGGAGUAAUAGUAGUAGAUGCAGAAUCGUUUCGGUCUACUUGUCAUGGACGUGAUGCCUAUAUACAUGAUCAUGCCUAGAUAUUCUCAUAACUAUGCUCAAUUCUGUCAAUUGCUCAAUAGUAAUUUGUUCACCCACUGUAGAAAACUUAUGCUCUCGAGAGAAUCCACUAGUGAAACCUAUGGCCCCCGGGUCUAUUCUCAUCAUAUCAAUCUCCAUCACUUCUAUAUUGUUUUGCUAUUUACUUUGAUUUUACUUUUUACUUUGCAUCUUUAUAUCAAAAAUACCAAAAAUAUUCUAUCUAUCAGAUCUCACUCUCGUAAGUGACCGUGAAGGGCUUGACAACCCCUAAUCACGUUGGUUGCGGGUAGCUAUCGCUUUGUGCAGGUACGAGGCCACGGUAUCAAUAUCAAAGAAAGUGGCAAAGCCCAUGAGUGCAAGUUGACGAACGGAAAGUAAAUUGUAUGCAAGCUCAACAAGCAUGACUUUCUCAAUCGUGAGAUCAUGAGAAAUGACAACCUUGCCAAGUCCUAAUACCUUAGAAGACGAGGCAUCACCCCACUCGACAUUGGUGGGCAUAGAUGGAAUCUUGUGCACGUCCACCACCAAGUCCUUGCUUCCGGUCAUAUGAUUAGUGGCUCCACUGUCGAGCAACCAAGUGCUACCUCUUGAGCACUGCAUUGGUUUUCCCUUGAAGAGGAAAGGGUGAUGUAGCAAAGUAGCGUAAGUAUUUCCCUUAGUUUUUGAGAACCAAGGUAUCAAUCCAGUAGGAGAUCACGCUCGAGUCCCACACACCUACACAAACAAAUAAGAACCUCGCAACCAACGUGAUAAAGGGGUUGUCAAUCCCUUCACGGUCACUUACGAGAGUGAGAUCUGAUAGAUAUGAUAAUAUAAUAUUUUUGGUAUUUUUAUGAUAAAGAUGCAAAGUAAAAUAAACGGCAAAAGAACUAACUAGGUGUUGGAAGAUUAAUAUGAUGGAAGAUAGACCCGGGGCCAUAGGUUUCACUAGUGGCUUCUCUCAAGAGCAUAAGUAUUACGGUGGGUAAACGAAUUACUGUCGAGCAAUUGAUAGAAUUGAGCAUAGUUAUGAGAAUAUCUAGGUAUGAUCAUGUAUAUAGGCAUCACGUCCGUGACAAGUAGACCGAAACGAUUCUGCAUCUACUACUAUUACCCCACACAUCGACCGCUAUCCAGCAUGCAUCUAGAGUAUUAAGUUCAUAAGAACAAAGUAACACCUUAAGCAAGAUGACAUGAUGUAGAGGGAUAAACUCAUGCAAUAUGAUAUAAACCCCAUCUUUUUAUCCUUGAUAGCAACAAUACAAUACGUUUCCCUUUCUGUCACUGGGAUCGAGCACCGCAAGAUUGAACCCAAAGCUAAGCACUUCUCCCAUUGCAAGAAAGAUCAAUCUAGUAGGCCAAACCAAACCGAUAAUUCGAAGAGACUUGCAAAUAUAAACAAAUCAUACAUAAAAGAAUUCAGAGGAGAAUCAAAUAUUGUUCAUAGAUAAACUUGAUCAUAAACCCACAAUUCAUCGGAUCUCGACAAACACACCGCAAAAUAAGGUUACAUCGAAUAGAUCUCCAAGAAGAUCGAGGAGAACUUUGUAUUGAGAUCCAAAGAGAGAGAAGAAGCCAUCUAGCUAAUAACUAUGGACCCGUAGGUCUGAAAUAAACUACUCGCGCAUCACCGGAGAGGCCAUGGAGUUUAUGUAGAGGGCCUCCGUGAUCAAUGCCCCCUCUGGCGGAGCUCCGGAAAAGGCCCCAAGAUGGGAUCUCUCGGGUACGUAAGGUUGCGGCGGUGGAAUUAGGUUUUCGUGGAGCUCCUGGAUGUUUGGGGGGUACAUGGAUAUAUAUAGGAGGAAGAAGUACGUCGGUGGAGCAACGAGGGGCCCACGAGGGUGGAGGGCGCGCCCAGGGGGGUAGGCACGCCCCCUGCCUCGUGCCCUCCUUGAUCGUUUCUUGAUGCACCCUCCAAGUCUCCAGGAUCACGUUUGUUGAGAAAAUCACGUUCCCGAAGGUUUCAUUCCGUUUGGAUUCCGUUUGAUAUUCCUUUUCUUCAAAACCCUAAAAUAGGCAAAAAAAAAUAGCAAUUUGGGUUGGGCCUCCGAUUAGUAGGUUAGUCCCAAAAAUGAUAUAAAAGUGUAAAAUAAAGCCCAUUAACAUCCAAAAUAUAUAAUAUAAUAGCAUGGAGCAAUCAAAAAUUAUAGAUACGUUGGAGACGUAUCAAGCAUCCCCAAGCUUAAUUACUGCUCGUCCUCGAGUAGGUAAAUGAUAAAAGAAGAAUUUUUGAUGUGGAAUGCUUUCUAACAUAUUUCUCAAUGUAAUUUUUCCUUAUUGUGGCAUGAAUGUUCAGAUCCGAAAGAUUCAAGAUAAAAUUUUAAUAUUGACAUAAAAAUAAUAAUACUUCAAGCAUACUAACUAAGCAAUUAUGUAUUCUCAAAAUAACAUGUCCAAAGAAAGUUAUCCCUACAAAAUCAUAUAGUCUGGCUAUGCUCUAUCUUCACCACACAAAAUAUCUAAAUCAUGCACAACCCCGAUGACAAGCCAAGCAAUCGUUUCAUACUUUUGAUGUUCUCAAACUUUUUAAUCUUCACGCAAUAUAUGAGCGUGAGCCAUGGAUAUAGCACUAUUUGUGGAAUAGAAUGGUGGUUGUGGAGAAGACAAAAAAGGAGAAAAUAGUCUCACAUCAACUAGGCAUAUCAACGGGCAAUGGAGAUGCCCAUCAAUAGAUAUAAAUGUGAGUGAGUAGGGAUUGCCAUGCAACGGAUGCAUUAGAGCUAUAAGUAUAUGAAAGCUCAACAAUAGAAACUAACUGGGUGUGCAUCCAACUCGCUUUCUCAUGAAGACCUAGGGCAUUUUGAGGAAGCCCGUCAUUGGAAUAUACAAGCCAAGUUCUAUAAUGAAAAAUUCCCACUAGUAUAUGAAAGUGAUAUCAUAGGAGACUCUCUAUUAUGAAGAUCAUGGUGCUACUUUGAAGCACAAGUGUGGAAAAAGGAUAUUAACAUUGUCCCUUCUCUCUUUUUCUCUUAUUCUUUUUUUAUUUGGGCCUUCUUUCUUUUUUCUUUUUGGCCUCUUUUUCGUCCGGAGUCUCAUCCCGACUUGUGGGGGAAUCAUAGUCUCCAUCAUCCUUUCCUCACUUGGGACAAUGCUCUAAUAAUGAUGAUCAUCACACUUUAAUUUCUUACAACUCAAUACUUAGAACCAAAUAUGACUCUAUCUGAAUGCCUCCGGCGGUUUAUCGGGAUGUGCAAUGAUGCAUGAGUGACAUGUAUGAAGAAUUAUGAACGGUGGCCUUGCCACAAAUACGAUGUCAACUACAUGAUCAUGCAAGCAAUAUGACAAUGAUGAAGCGUGUCAUAAUAACGGAAUGGUGGAAAGUUGCAUGGUAAUAUAUCUCGGAAUGGCUAUGGAAAUGCCAUAAUAGGUAGGUAUGGUGGCUGUUUUGAGAAAGGUAUAUGGUGGGUUUAAGGUACCGGCGAAAGUUGCGCGAUACUAGAGAGGCUAGCAAUGGUGAAAGGGUGAGAGUGCGUAUAAUCCAUGGACUCAACAUUAGUCAUAAAGAACUCACAUACUUAUUGCAAAAAUCUAUUAGUUAUCAAAACAAAGUAUUACGCGCAUGCUCCUAGGGGGUAGAUUGGUAGGAAAAGACCAUCGCUCGUCCCCGACCGCCACUCAUAAGGAAGACAAUCAAUAAAUAAAUCAUGCUCCGACUUCAUCACAUAACGGUUCACCAUACGUGCAUGCUACGGGAAUCACAAACUUCAACACAAGUAUUUCUCAAAUUCACAACUACCCGACUAGCAUGACUCUAAUAUCACCAUCUCCAUAUCUCAAAACAAUUAUCAAGUAUCAAACUUCUCAUAGUAUUCAAUGCACUUCUAUGAAAGUUUUUAUAUUAAAGCAAAUUUCCAUGUUGUUCUAAAGGACUCUCAAAAUAAUAUAAGUGAAGCAUGAGAGAUCAAUUAUUUCUAUAAAAUAAAACCACCAUCGUGCUCUAAAAGAUAUAAGUGAAGCAUUAGAGCAAAAACUAUAUAGCUCAAAAGAUAAAAGUGAAGCACAUAGAGUAUUCUAAUAUAUUUCAAAUCAUGUGAGUCUCUCUAAAAAGGUGUGUACAGAAAGUAUGAUUGUGGUAAACUAAAAAGCAAAGAUUCAAAUCAUACAAGACGCUCCAAGCAAAACACAUAUCAUGUGGUGAAUAAAAAUAUAGCUCCAAGUAAAGUUACCGAUAGACAAAGACGAAAGAGGGGAUGCCUUCCGGGGAAUCCCCAAGCUUAGGCUUCUUGGUGUCCUUGAGUUUUACCUUGGGGUGCCAUGGGCAUCCCCAAGCUUAGGCUCUUGCCACUCCUUGUUUCUUAAUCCAUCAAAUCUUUACCCAAAACAUGAAAACUUCACAACACAAAACUCAAAAUAGAAAAUCGCGUGAGCUCCAUUAGCGAAAGAAAACAAAAAACCACUUCAAGGUACUGUAAUGAACUCAUUAUUUACUUAUAUUGGUGUUAAAACUAAUGUAUUCCAACUUCUCUAUGGUUUUUAAACUCUUUUACUAGCCAUAGAUUCAUCAAAAUAAGCAAACAACACACGAAAACAGAAUCUGUCAAAAACAGAACAGUCUGUAGUAAUCUGUAGCUAACGCAACUUAUGGAACCCCAAAAAUUCUAAAAUAAAUUGCUGGAUGUGAGGAAGUUAUCUAUUAAUCAUCUGAAAAAAUAAUUAACUAAAUAGAACUCUCCAAAUAAAAAUGGCAUCAAUUCCCGUGAGCGCUAAAGUUUCUGUUUUUUACAGCAAGAUCAAAAAGACUUCCCCAAGUCUUCCCAACGAUUCUACUUGGCACAAACACUAACUAAACACAAAAAACACAACCAAAACAGAGGCUAGAUAAAUUAUUUAUUACUAAACAGGAGAAAAAAGCAAGAAAUAAAAAUAAAAUUGGGUUGCCUCCCAACAAGCGCUAUCGUUUAACGCCCCUAGCUAGGCAUAAAAGCAAGGAUAGAUCUAGGUAUUGCCAUCUUUGGUAUUAGGAAAGAAAACAGAAAAAUUCUUUUCUAUAGCAUUUAUCUUUCUAUUUUGAGAUAGCACAUGGCCAUUAAUGGUGGAAGAAAGAUUAAGCACGUUACGGAAAUUGGCAUCUAAGCUAGCCUUCAUUUCUUUGAUAAUUUCAUUUUGAUAAAAGCACAAAAAAGAGGUAGAUUCAACCUUCUCAUACAUGGGGUGCCCAAAUAUAGUUUUCAUCUUUUCAUAGGUAUCGAUGGGAUCCCCCUCAAGAAAACCCUCUUCAAAAAUAGAAUCUAGAACUUGCUUGAACGAGGAGGGUAGACCAAUAUAAAAGCUUUUCAGGUAAACCUCAAUUUGAUAUUGUGGCACAUAGCUAGCUCGGAUCCUUAAUAGCCUAUCCCAAGCAUCUUUCAAAGAUUCAUCAAGUAAAUAAUGAAAAGUUCCGGGAUCAUCUUCAUCAAAAUUAUUCGAAUUCUCAUUGAUAACCCCGGUAGGUCUUUCCAUAGCAUCAUUAUUUAUGAGCUUAGAGAGGACAGAAGGACUAUCCAAGGUAAAACCCGAGAGAGAACCCUUAGCCCUUUUUGAAUCGGCCAUGGUACAAGAAAACAAAUGGGAAAGGAGACGAAUAAAAUGGCAAGGGUGAAGUGGGGAAGAGGAAAAUGAGAGUCAAAUGACAAAUAAUGUAAUGCGAAGGAUAAGAGUUUGUGAUGGGUACUUGAUAUGUCUUGACUUGUGCGUAGAUUCCGGCAACGGUGCCAGGAAUGACUCGUUGUCAGGAGUCGAAUCUUGACUUAACUUGGCGCGAAUCUCCCUAGCAACGGUGCCCGAAAUCCUUCUUGCUACCUCUUGAGCAUUGCGUUGGUUUUCCCUUGAAGAGGAAAGGGUGAUGCAGCAAAGUAGCGUAAGUAUUCCCCUCAGUUUUUGAGAACCAAGGUAUCAAUCCAGUAGGAGAUCACGCUCGAGUCCCACGCACCUACACAAACAAAUAAGAACCUCGCAACCAACGCGAUAAAGGGGUUGUCAAUCCCUUCACGGUCACUUACGAGAGUGAGAUAUGAUAGAUAUGAUAAGAUAAUAUUUUUGGUAUUUUUAUGAUAAAGAUGCAAAGUAAAAUAAACGGCAAAAGAAAUAACUAAGUGUUGGAAGAUUAAUAUGAUGGAAGAUAGACCCGGGGGCCAUAGGUUUCACUAGUGGCUUAUCUCAAGAGCAUAAGUAUUAUGGUGGGUAAACGAAUUACUGUCGAGCAAUUGAUAGAAUUGAGCAUAGUUAUGAGAAUAUCUAGGUAUGAUCAUGUAUAUAGGCUUCACGUCCGCGACAAGUAGACCAAAAUGAUUCUGCAUCUACUACUAUUACUCCACACAUCGACCGCUAUCCAGCAUGCAUCUAGAGUAUUAAGUUCAUAAGAACAGAGUAACACCUUAAGCAAGAUGACAUGAUGUAGAGGGAUAAACUCAUGCAAUAUGAUAUAAACCCCAUCUUUUUAUCCUCGAUGGCAACAAUACAAUACGUGUCGGUUCCCUUUCUGUCACUGGGAUCGAGCACCGCAAGAUUGAACCCAAAGCUAAGCACUUCUCCCAUUGCAAGAAAGAUCAAUCUAGUAGGCCAAACCAAACUGAUAAUUCGAAGAGACUUGCAAAGAUAAACCAAUCAUACAUAAAAGAAUUCAGAGGAGAAUCAAAUAUUGUUCAUAGAUAAACUUGAUCAUAAACCCACAAUUCAUCGGAUCUCGACAAACACACCGCAAAAGAAGAUUACAUCGAAUAGAUCUCCAAGAAGAUGGAGGAGAACUUUGUAUUGAGAUCCAAAGAGAGAUAAGAAGCCAUCUAGCUAAUAACUAUGGACCCGUAGGUCUGAAAUAAACUACUCACACAUCACCGGAGAGGCCAUGGAGUUGAUGUAGAGGCCCACCGUGAUCAAUGCCCCCUCCGGCGGAGCUCCGGAAAAGGCCCCAAGAUGGGAUCUCUCGGGUACAGAAAGUUGCGGCGGUGGAAUUAGGUUUUCGUGGUGCUCCUGGAUGUUUGGGGGGUACAUGGAUAUAUAUAGGAGGAAGAAGUACGACGGUGGAGCAACGAGGGGCCCAUGAGGGUGGAGGGCGCGCCCCCUUGCCUCAUGCCCUCCUCGAUCGUUUCUUGACGCACACUCCAAGUCUCCUGGAUCAGGUUUGUUGAGAAAAUCACGUUCCCGAAGGUUUCAUUCCGUUUGGACUCCGUUUGGACUCCGUUUGAUAUUCCUUUUCUUCGAAACCCUAAAAUAGGAAAAAAGAACAACAAUUUGGGCUGGGCCUCCGGUUAGUAGGUUAGUCCCCAAAAUGAUAUAAAAGUGCAUUAACAUCCAAAAUAGAUAAUAUAAUAGCAUGGAGCAAUCAAAAAUUAUAGAUACGUUGGAGACGUAUCACCAAGAUCCCCCACCGGAAGCAAACACGUGCAAGAGAUCAAUGCUUGGUUUUAGGUACCCAUUUUGUAAUGGGUCCUUUGAUGUUAGUAACAAGGGUCUUAGGAACCCAAAUAGACCAUUCAAUGUACUCAUAAGGAGAACCAACAAAUUUAGCAUAAACAUGCCCAUCACUAGCACGACACAACACAUAAGAAGGGUUAAAGUCGCCGGAUUUGUUGGAAGGGGUGGCAUUGCCCUUAUUGACACCACCACCCUUCUCAUUGUUCUUCUUCUCCUUAGAAGCACCCUCUCCCUCCCUCACAAAAGUUUGCUUGAGAGGAGCAGGUCGUUUGGCCUUGUCAUUCUUCUCCUUGUUCUUGGGCUUGGAAGCAAACCCAAUUCCCUCCUUGCCCACAACUUCCUUUUGAUUGCUCAAAAGGUCGUUGAGGUUCUUCUCACCUUGUAUGCAAGACACAAGGCCUUUCUCAAGUUGCUCCUCCAACUUAGCAUUCUUCUCCACAAGAUGCACAUGCUCACAACAUGGGUUAGUAGCAUUUGCAUUAUCAAUUAAGACCAUAUGAGGAAAAGUGGCCUUUUCCUUAGUUAGCUUCACUUGGAGUUGAUCAUGAGACUCUUUGAGGCUAGCACGAGCACCCUUCAAGGGUUUGUGAGCCUUGUCGAGUAUAUCAAACUCCUCCUUGAUUCUAGCAAGAUCAAGCCCAAGUUUGGCCUUCUCAGAAUUGAGCACACGAGAUACAACAAGUGCAUGAUCAAGAUCUUUCUUUAAUUUAGCAUGAUCAUCGUUGUGUGACUCCUCAAGAGCCAAACGGUGACCACGCUCUUCCUCAAGAGCAUUAGAGAGAUCCGAUAUCUCAUCGGCAUAGUCACGACUAUGUCCCUCCAUCUUAGAGAUGGUGUCUUCGUGAGCCUCGAUCAUGUCAUUGGCUUCACCAAGUUGUUCCAAGAGAGCAAAAAAGUGCUUCUUAGACUUACCCUUGAGCUUACUCAUACAAGACUCAAAUUCAUUUUCUUCCUCAUUAGACCCCUCACUUUCAUCAAUGAAAAUCCGUCAAAGAGGGAUUAGUAGUGAUGGUAGUUUUGAUGUUGGGGGUUACCUUGUUGGUGGCUUUGGCCAUGAGGCACUUAGCGGUGAUGUUCUCGUUGGGUGAGUCGAAGAGCGACACCCGUGGAGUUGUUGCAAUGGCAACGGAGGCCAUGUCAACCGUCUCAUCGUCUUCAUCAUUGUCAUCAUCCUCAUUGUACUCUUCAUGUGCCACCAACCCCUUGGAAGGAGUCUUCUUGGUGAAGUUGCUCUUGUUGGGGAAGGACUUGGCCUUGUCUUUUCGGAUGAGCUUGCCACCAUUGUCUUCCCUCUUCUCAUAUGGGCACUUUGCAACAAAAUGGCUCACAUUGCCACAAUUAUAGAAAGUCCUCACACGUUGCUUUCCCUUCACGCCACUUGAGUUGUUCUUGUUGAAGUUGGGCCUUGUGUUCUUCUUGCUCCAAAAUUGCCUUGAAGCGAGAGGCAUGUGCUCAUGGUAAGCAUAUUUCGUAUCUUCGGGGUUGCUCUCCUCUUCUUCCUCUUUGUCCUCUUCUUCCACACUAGCCUUGGCCUUCAAGGCAAGGUUGGGCUUCUUUGCUCUUUGAGAAUGCAACACUGCAUUGUCGGUGGUCUUGUCCAAGAUCCUCAUAGCCACAAACUCAUCCAACACUUCACUUGAGGACAAGGUGUGGAAGUACGGCCUUUGAAGAAUAACGGAGGACAUGGCCUUGUGGUAAGGCAUCAUGGCCUUGAGGAACUUGCGCUUGAUCCAAUUUUCAUCUGUAUCCUUGCUCCCAUGAUCUCGGAGUGAGACCGCAAGAGUGGUUAAUCUCCGGUAAAUCUCAAGAGGCUCUUCAUCUUCAUUCAUUGCAAACUCAUCAGCUUCAUCUUGUACCACUUCAUAGUUGGAGCGUUGAAUGAUUGCGCUUCCUUUGUAAAGGGAAACAACAUGGUGCCAUGCUUCCUUGGCCACGGUGAAAGGUCAAAGAUGUGCAAUGUCUUCGGAAGGAAUUGCAUCUUGGAUGAUGAAGAGAGCAUUCUCGUUGAAUCGAUGAUCCGCGACUUCCCUAGGGGUGAAGUUGCUUGGGUCAUGCGGAUAGAAGCCUUGCUCAAUGAUUCUUCAAAGAUUAGUAUUGACAUGAUUUAAAUGACGUUUAAAGCGAUAGACCCAAGAGUCAAAAUCCUCAUUUUUCACAAUCUUAGGAGGAGAAACCACAUGAUUUAAAUGAGUGGAGGGAACCGGUCGUCCAUUUGUAAGAGGAGAUUCAACAUGGGAAAAGAUGUCGUUUCCACUUUUACCACUAGACAAAGGAACUUUUGUUGGGGAUCGUAGCAAUAAUUCAAAAUUUUCCUACGUGUCACCAAGAUCAAUCUAGGAGAUACUAGCAACGAGAGAGAGGGAGUGCAUCUUCAUACUCUUGAAGAUCGCUAAGUGGAAGCGUUGCAAGAACGCGGUUGGUGGAGUCGUACACGCAGCGAUUCAGAUCACGGUCGAUUCCGAUCUAAGCGCCGAACAACGGCGCCUCCGCGUUCAACACACGUACAGCCCGGUGACGUCUCCCACGCCUUGAUCCAACAAGGAGAGAGGGAGAGGUUGGGGAAGACUCCGUCCAGCAGUAGCACAACGGCGUGGUGAUGGUGGAGGAGCGCGGUACUCCAGCAGGGCUUCGCCAAGCACUACGAGAGACGAGGAGGGAGAGGGGUAGGGCUGCGCCAAGAGAGAGAUCAAAUCACCUGUGUUGGGCAGCCCCAUACCUCAAGUAUAUAUAGGGGAAGGGGAGGGGCUGCGCCCCCUCUAGGGUUCCCUCCCCAAGGGGGCAGCAGCCCUAGAUCCCAUCUAGGGUGGCGGCUAGAGGGGAGAGGGAGAGAGGGGGGCGCCCUAGGGUGGGCCUUAAGGCCCAUCUGGACCUAGGGUUUGCCCCCUCCCACUCUCCCUGCGCCUUGGGCCUUGGUGGGGGUGCACCAGCCUACCUGGGGCUGGUCCCCUCCCACACUUGGUCCACGCAGCCUUCUGGGGCUGGUGGCCCCACCUGGUGGACCCCCGGGACCCUCCCGGUGGUCCCGGUACGUUACUGAUAGCACCCGAAACUUUUCUGGUGACCAAAAUGGGACUUCCCAUAUAUAAAUCUUUACCUCUGGACCAUUCUGGAACUCCUCGUGAUGUCCGGGAUCUCAUCCGGGACUCCGAACAACAUUCGGUAACCACGUACAUACUUUCCCUAUAACCCUAGCGUCAUCGAACCUUAAGUGUGUAGACCCUACGGGUUCGGGAACCAUGUAGACAUGACCGAGACAACUCUCCGGCCAAUAACCAACAGCGGGAUCUGGAUACCCAUGUUGGCUCCCACAUGUUCCACGAUGAUCUCAUCGGAUGAACCACGAUGUCAAGGAUUCAAUCAACCCCGUAUACAAUUCCCUUUGUCUAUCGGUAUGAUACUUGCCCGAGAUUCAAUCAUCGAUAUCCUGAUACCUCAUUCAAUCUCGUUACCGGCAAGUCUCUUUACUCGUUCCAUAAUACAUCAUCCCGUGAUCAACUCCUUGGUCACAUUGUGCACAUUAUGAUGAUGUCCUACCCAGUGGGCCCAGAGAUACCUCUCCGUUACACGGAGUGACAAAUCCCAGUCUCGAUUCGGGUCAACCCAACAGACACUUUCAGAGAUACCCGCAGUGCACCUUUAUAGCCACCCAGUUACGUUGUGACUUUUGGUACACCCAAAGCAUUCCUACGGUAUCCGGGAGUUGCACAAUCUCAUGGUCUAAGGAAAUGAUACUUGACAUUAGAAAAGCUUUAGCAUACGAACUAUACGAUCUUGUGCUAGGCUUAGGAUUGGGUCUUGUCCAUCACAUCAUUCUCCUAAUGAUGUGAUCCCGUUAUCAACGACAUCCAAUGUCCAUGGUCAGGAAACCGUAACCAUCUAUUGAUCAACGAGCUAGUCAACUAGAGGUUACUAGGGACAUGGUGUUGUCUAUAUAUCCACACAUAUAUCUGAGUUUCCUAUCAAUACAAUUCUAGCAUGGAUAAUAAACGAUUAUCAUGAACAAGGAAAUAUAAUAAUAACUAAUUUAUUAUUGCCUCUAGGGCAUAUUUCCAAAAACUUUAUCACUAGAAGCUUUUCCCUUGUCGGAGUUAGCAUCCGUCACCUUGUUAGUGGGAUCGACCACUUCCAACGGUGCGGUGGACAAUUUAAGACCAUCAAGAAAGUUCUUAAGCAUGCCUUUGACCUUGGCCGUCAUGGAGGUUUUCAAUGUGUCCAAGGCCACAUUGAACUCCUCACGUGAGAUCGAGGUUCCCCCAUCGGCUGUGGACGAGGAUGGAAUCACAUAGGGGUGCUCCUCCUCACCGUCUACGGUGUCAACCAUACUCUUCGGACGACAAAGUCCUUAAUAAAGAGAUGAGGCUCUGUUACCAAUUGAAAGGAUCGAUAUAGUUGACUAGAGGGGGGGUGAAUAGGCAACUAACAAUUUUUAGCUUUUCUUUACCAAUUUAAACUUUGCAUCAAAGUAGGUUGUCUAGAUAUGCAACUAGGUGAGCAACCUAUAUGAUGCAACAACAAGCACACAAGCAAGCAAGGGAUGCAACACAAUAUAAUCUUGCACAAGUAAAGGUACGAGAUAACCAAGAGUGGAGCCGACGAAGACGAGGAUGUGUUACCAAAGUUCCUUCCCUUUGAGAGGAAGUGUGUCUCCGUUGGAGCGGUGUGGAGGCGCAAUGCUCCCCAAGAAGCCACUAGGGCCACCGUAUUCUCCUCACGCCCUCACACAAAGCGAGAUACCGUGAUUCCACUAUUGGUGCCCUUGGAGGCGGUGACCGGACCUUUACAAACAAGGUUGGGGCAAUCUCCACAACUUAAUUGGAGGCUCCCAACGACACCAUGAAGCUUCACCAUAAUGGAAAUUGGCUCCGCGGUGACCUCAACCGUCUAGGGUGCUCAAACACCCAAGAGUAACAAGAUCCACAAUGGAUUAGUGGGGGGAAUCAAAUUUCUCUUGGUGGAAGUGUAGAUCGGGGCUUUCUCAACCAAUCCCUAGAAAAUCAACAAGGUUGAUUGGCUAGGGAGAGAGAUCAGGCAAAAAUGGAGCUUAGAGCAACAAUGGAGCUUAGGGAUGGAAGAGGUAGUCAACUCGGAGAAGAAGACUCCCCUUAUAUAGUGAUAGGACAAAUCCAACCGUUAUCCACUUACCCAGCCUGUGACGCGCGAUAGUACCGCACCAGCCAUGCGGUACUACCACAAGGGCCUGCGAUACUACCACGGGGCACUGCGGUACUACCGCAUGCGCGGCAAGAGCCAGACCGACCCUGAUGCGUUGAAGCAAAGAGCGGUAGAACCGCCGGAGCGGUACUACCGCAAAGCAAGGUUUGUUUACGCUGGAAAGGCACGGACAUAUAAAAAUACAUCUGUGGCUACUUCCGCCGAGUUUCGAUCUGUGCAAAAAUCCGACACGGUACUGCCGCGAACCUGGAGCGGUACUACCGCGUAGGGCGCGGAUGUAAAGAAUUACAUCCGCCCCUACUUCUGCUCGUGCUGUUGUGCCUGGCCCGAGGCCACGGUACUACCGCGCCCUAGGAGUGGUACUACCGCAAUGGACUGCAAUACUACCGCGACCGUAGCCGGUAUUACCGUGAGCCUCUGCGGUACUACCGCUCCCAUGAGCAGUACUACCGCAUGCCCAGCACAACCAACACUAGGAGUCCUUCAUUUUGUAGAGACACGGAUAACUAGAGGAUGCUCCAAAGAGCCAACGGAAAUGUGGUGUAAAAGGAACAGACGUGUACAUGAUGAUUCUACCCAAACCUUUCCAAAGCGGACCCCCUCUUAAUAGUACGACUUUCCUACGACUCAAAUCCACCGAAAAGAAACGUAGGAAAAACUCCGUCUUCACUAGACUCCGAGAGGCAACGAAUCAUCUUGUGCCUGAACAUGAGAUAUCUAAAAUGCUCAAUGCACACGAUUAGUCUGCCAAAACAUUGCCGUCAAUCACCAAAACCACUAAGGGAUAAAUAUGCCCUUACAAUCUUUCCCUUUUUGGUGGAUUGAUGACAAUACGAGAUUUGCACAAAGGGAAAUAAAAUGAAGCAUAGGCAAACCCAACAUCUAUAAGAUAUAGAUGGGCUCCCCCUAGAUAUGUGUUCUCUAGAGAAGUGCUUUGGACUGCACGACACACAUACUAGGAUCAACACUCCCCCUAUAUUUUAUAGACGAGGCAUAUCUUGCAACAAAAUAACUAACACGAAGCAAGGAGGCAAGAUAACAAAUAUGAGCGUAAAGUAACGAGAGCACAAUCUACUAAUCAAACUAGAUAACAUGAUAAGACAAUAAGAUACGUUGAGAACAUAUGUCUUACACCAUAUGAUAGGAUCAACACCCCCCCUUGCGGUACUACCGCAAGGCAGGGUUUGUCUAGGCUGGGAAGGCACGGACAUAUAAAAAAACAUCCGUGGCUACUUCAACUGAGUUUCGAUCUAUGCAAAAAUCCGACACGGUAUUGCCACGAACCUGGAGCGGUACUACCGCGUAGGGCGCGGAUGUAAAAAAUUACAUCCGCCCCUACUUCCGCUCGUGCUGUUGUGCCUGGCCCGAGGCCAUGGUACUACCGCGCCCUGGGAGCGGUACUACCGUGAGCCUCUGCGUACUACCGCUCUCAUGAGCAGUACUACCGCAUACCCAACACAACCAACACUAGGAGUCCCUCAUUUUACAGAGACACAGAUAAACGGAGGAUGCUCCAAAGAGCCAACGGAAAGGUGGUGCAAAAGGAACAGACGUGUACGUAAUGAUUCCACCCAAACAUUUCCAAAGCGGACCCCUCUUAAUAGUACGACUUUCCUACGAUUCAAAUCCACCGAAAAGAAACGUAGGGAAAAGUCUGUCUUCACUAGACUCCAAGGGGCAACGAAUCGUCUUGUCCCUGAACAUGAGAUAUCAAAAAUGUUCAAUGCACACGAUUAGUCCGCAAAAGCAUUGUCGUCAAUCACCAAAACCACUAAGGGAUACAUAUGCCCUUACAACCGACGGGAGGCGGGAGAAACCCUAGCCAAAGGGUCCUCUUUCUUUCAUCCGUCCUCUUUUAAUUUGAUGGAUUUUUUCAUCUCACACAUGAUAAAUCACCGAUGUGAUAAGGAAACCAUCAUGCAAAAAUUUGAUUCGGUGUUAUAAUGAGAAUUAAAGUUAAUAUUUAUCUUGCCAGUGGGCAACAAAAAAAUUGGACAUACUUUGUAAAGAAAAAAAUACAAGCUUAAUAAUAGAAAAAAAUUAUAUUGAAAGUCCAUGCUUUGAAAAGAAAAUGUUUAGAGCACAUCUAGAUGUGUUUUAGUAUUGUACAUUUAAAUGACUCGAUCAAACAUAAAGAAGAAGGAAAAUACCGCCACGAAUCUUCACCUAAAAUCAAUGGCGUAGGACUUAUCUAGAUGUGCUUCAGUAAAACCAUAAAAAAAAUUCACAUUAAAAUGUAUAUAAUAGAAUAUAUGCGAGGAGAAUCUUAUUCCAUCUUCAGAGUGUCGUCACCAUCUCGCCACUCUGAGCAUGGCACAAACCCUAACAAAAAUAAAAAAAUCAUGAAAAAAACGAAGCCCUCCACCGGCAAGGCCAGGAUCCACCGCGUCUCCAUGACCCUAAGACCAUAGGAGACGAGAUAAGCGAUGGUGGCACCACCGGGAGGCGGGAGAAACCCUAGCUAGAGGGUCCUCUUUCUUCCAUCAAUCCUCUCUUAAUUCGAUGGAUUUUUUUCGUCUCACACAUGAUAAAUCACCCCGUGAUAAGGAAACCAUCUUGCAGAAAUUUGAUUCGACGUUAUAAUGAUAAUUAAAGUUAAUAUUUAUCCUGCCAGAGGGCAACAUAAAAAUUGGACAUACUUUGUAAAGAAAAAAAUACAUGCUUAAUAGAUAAAAAUUAUAGUGAAAGUCCCUGGUUUGAAAAGAAAAGGCAUGUUUAGGGCACAUUUAGAUGUGCCUUAGUAUUGUACAUUUAAACGACUCAAUCAAACAUAAAGAAGAACAAAAAAUACCCAGAUGAAUCUCCACCUAAAAUCAAUGACCUAUGACUUAUAUGUGCAAUGUAGGGCACAUCCAGAUGUGCUUUGCUUUAGCGAAACCAUAAAAAAAUCACAUUAAAAUGUAUAGUAGAAAAUAUUAAAAAGUUAGUGCACAGAUUACUUCUUGCUCCCCCACAAAUGUUCUUGGGUAACAGGCCCCCGAGCCACAAGGCCCAGCAAGAUCUGUGACUAACUUUUGCUCCCCCACAAAUGAGCUUGGGUGACAGGCUAACGCGACAAAGCCCAGCCACAGUGUUGCAAGAGCUGUCCUUUUAUUCCCGUGUAUGCGAACUAAAUAAGGCGAGGUGGGACUAAAAGUUGUGUCUGCCAACAAAUUCAAGGUACUAACGGGCUAAACAAACAACAGCUUCUCCAAACUGAAAGCCCAAGUAAAGAAUCUCGCGGCGUGACGGCCCAACGACGACGACGCGGUAAAACGGGGAGGCAAACGCCAAGAGAAGGCUUCCUCCCAAAGCCUUCCAAGCCAGACACACGGCCGCCGCAGCCGAGAUGGCCGCCGGAGAUGCCACCCACGCGCCGCCGGCCGCGGAGGCGCAGUCUCUGGUGGAUUCGUUCUGCGCAGUCACCUCGGCGACCCCCGACGAGGCGACCUUCUUCCUCGAGGGCCACAACUGGGCCCUCGAGGCCGCCGUCCGCUCCUUCUACGACAACACGGAAGUCGACGCCGAUGGCCCCGAUCCGGCACCCCAGCCCCCGCCAGCCGGUUCGCCUCCGUGCUCCUCACCACGCGCCACGGCACCAUCGACGACCUCCUUCACACCGGCGAGCUCGCGGUAAGCCUCGAUUGCCUGAUUUCUCCACUCUCUUAGGCUCGUUUCUUACUGUGAUGUUUGUGUUCAGUUAGGCAAAAUUGGGGAUCGCAAUCAACUUGACACUAUCUUAUCUCAGCUCAAUUUAGUCCGGACCAAUAACUUUUUAUGUUAAAAAAAUUAAGCAAGUUGGAACUGCGUAGAAUCGAUCAACCUGAUCUAUACUGGAUUUAAGUGCUGAAUUUUACUGGAUUCAGUUGCCUUCAUAGUUACACUUUGACUUCUCGGAAAAGAAAAAAAACACUUGCUCGGUGGUUUCUUGACAGGGUCCGUUGGCCUAGAUGAGAUUAUCUAGAAAUCCAAUAAUUGGGCUGGCUGACAUCUAUAAUUAAGUGAUCUCGAGUAGUAUCAUGUGAGAAACAGCAAAGCUAGUUAGGUGUGACGUGAUUCACUCUGCUGGGUGCUGGCGAUCAAUCUGUCGCUGGGCCUGAAAAUGGGACUUCAUUGCUAAUUGGGGCGCCAUCGUUGUAAAGGUACAAGUAGGGCCAUGAAUCAGUGAUAGUGCCUUAUUGAGAUCACAAACCAAAGGGGGUUGGAACAGUGUAUAUAAGGUGUAGAGCUCCUGUAGUUUUCAGAUUUUGUCAUAAUCGCAAACAGUGACCUCUAUACUGUAUUAACAAAUAUAACAUGAUUACAAUUCAAAAAAAAAUCUAAUAUGGUUAGAAGUUCUGGUUUCAGGGGCACUUCAGCUAUUUUGGAAGCACCACAGUAUUUAGGCCAACAUAAGCUGAUAUUCAGAAGAAUCACACUUUAUCUGAGAUUAUCUAGAAAUCCAAUAAUUGGGCUGGCUGACAUCUUUAAUUAAGUGAUCUGGAGUAGCAUCAUGUGAGAAACAGCAAAGCUAGCAAGGUGUGACGUGAUUCACUCUGCUGGCCACUGAUCUGUCGAUGGGCCUGAAAAUGGCACUUCAUUCAUUUCUGAAUGCUAAUUUGUGCGGCAUCUUUCAAAGGUGUGAGUAGGGCCAUGAAUCAGUGAUCUUAUUGGAAUCUCAAACCGAAGGGGGUUGGAACUGUGUAUAGGAGGUGCAGAGGUCCUUUAGUUUCAGAUCUUUUCAUAGUCGCAAACAGCGACCUAUGUGACAUUAACAAAUCUAGCAGAUCAUUACAAGUUCUAGUUUCAGUGUUACUUGCUUCGGCUAUUUGGCAGCACUACUGUAUAGGAUAAGAUGCUACUUAGGAGCAGCUAAACUCAAAACAGAUAUAUGUGGUAAACUUACGGCAUUUUGAACUGAAAAACGGUGAAAGAAUUAAGAAUUUUCGGACACAUGUUACUUACAUUGUCUCAGCUCUGCAUACUUGGCAACAUUUCCAAAUACUGGUCCUAAUGUAUCUUCAUGUUUAAUUCUGCAGCUAUGUUCAGUGGUGCUAAUGUCCGGGCUCAUCAUAAUCCUGAGCAGCGCCGCCAAGAUCACUCACCAGGUGCAGGCCCUCAUGGGCCAGACCACCAAGUGGCACGCCUGCUGCACCAUCGAGCCGGUCCCGGACGACGAGAUAGAUCCGGGAUCCAACCAGAACUCCAUGCUGGAGGAGUACCCCGAGCCCGAGGACGAGAGCGACUGUGAGUCCAGCGAGGAGACCGGCGACGAGGACAUGGUGGAGAACACCAAGUUCCUCCAGCCUCACAUGCACGUGAUCUCCUUCCAGAAGAGGCAGGCACUAGGUACGUAUGAUCAUCGACAGUUAUCAUACAUUUCGUCGAAUCUUGGGGCUGAUGGAAAACGCUGUUGCAGUGACCUUCCUGGAGAACAACAACGCCGGCAUCACCGUCUUCGGGUUCACGCUGGACCGGUCGUACCUCCACACGAUAUUCAUGCUCGAGUGGACGUUCUUCCUGUGGCUGCUGGGGAAAACAGUCGGCUUCUCGUGAAGACGAGGGACUGUAUGCACCAAGGUUCUAUUCUGUUCCAUGUUUUUUUGCUGUUGUGCUCCGUUUGAUCCUUGUGUGAAAAGAGAAGGAGCAGGGUUUUUUGUGUGCGCGUGCGGGUGGCACGUGAGUGGUGUGCACUUGUUCGUGUGUGUAUGCUAGCAGCGAUUUGGUAUGCUGAUGAUCCUGUAAAUUAUCAUGGGUUGAUUGCAUGUGGAUGUAAGGUCUAUGUACAGUGAUUAGAGCAUCUCGAUCUAGCAGACCUCGUAAAAGGGCCGAACCCGUAUAAUUCCGGCGAGUAUACGGGUUCGGCCUGUUUUUCUGGCCAGAGUAGACACCGUAUCCGCGGCCCGGCCCUAAAAAAUUUACUGUGGCCCGCAAAAAGUCUCUCCCCACCACUAUAUAUGCCCCANNNNNNNNNNNNNNNNNNNNNNNNNNNNNNNNNNNNNNNNNNNNNNNNNNNNNNNNNNNNNNNNNNNNNNNNNNNNNNNNNNNNNNNNNNNNNNNNNNNNNNNNNNNNNNNNNNNNNNNNNNNNNNNNNNNNNNNNNNNNNNNNNNNNNNNNNNNNNNNNNNNNNNNNNNNNNNNNNNNNNNNNNNNNNNNNNNNNNNNNNNNNNNNNNNNNNNNNNNNNNNNNNNNNNNNNNNNNNNNNNNNNNNNNNNNNNNNNNNNNNNNNNNNNNNNNNNNNNNNNNNNNNNNNNNNNNNNNNNNNNNNNNNNNNNNNNNNNNNNNNNNNNNNNNNNNNNNNNNNNNNNNNNNNNNNNNNNNNNNNNNNNNNNNNNNNNNNNNNNNNNNNNNNNNNNNNNNNNNNNNNNNNNNNNNNNNNNNNNNNNNNNNNNNNNNNNNNNNNNNNNNNNNNNNNNNNNNNNNNNNNNNNNNNNNNNNNNNNNNNNNNNNNNNNNNNNNNNNNNNNNNNNNNNNNNNNNNNNNNNNNNNNNNNNNNNNNNNNNNNNNNNNNNNNNNNNNNNNNNNNNNNNNNNNNNNNNNNNNNNNNNNNNNNNNNNNNNNNNNNNNNNNNNNNNNNNNNNNNNNNNNNNNNNNNNNNNNNNNNNNNNNNNNNNNNNNNNNNNNNNNNNNNNNNNNNNNNNNNNNNNNNNNNNNNNNNNNNNNNNNNNNNNNNNNNNNNNNNNNNNNNNNNNNNNNNNNNNNNNNNNNNNNNNNNNNNNNNNNNNNNNNNNNNNNNNNNNNNNNNNNNNNGGGAGCUCUGGGGAUGACGCAGAGCGUCGCGCCAGAUCCGACGCCGCACGCAAGCGGGGCGCACGGAGGUGGCUCAACCGCGGUAGCCGGUCGCCGCCAACGUUUGAACGCCGCGAGCUGGUCGAGUUCGAGCGCAAGCUUGCCCGCCGCCACCACGCCUCAUUCGGCUCCUCUGCCGCAGAGAGCUUGUCCGCGGGCGCCUCGAGCUCGUGGCUCAGUCCGAUGAAGAGAGAGCCGGAGGAACUCGGGCCGCUCGCCGUCAAGCUCGAGGCCGAGGCGCCGCCGCGUCGAGGAGUGAUUGACCCCAAGGACUACCUCCCCCCGGGGCAGGAGGAGCACCUAGAGCGUGUCGUCAUGGAGCGGUCGGCGAGGGAGCGGGAGGAGGGCGAAGUGCGCCGCCGACGCGAGCUCGAGUACGAGCAGAUGUUCCCCAGACGGGUGUUGCGGCGUUGCAGGUCCGCCUCCAUGAAGGUGGAGCAAGCCAAGUUCUUCAUCGACCUCGACCCCUCCGACGAGGACUUAGCUCCUCCGGCUCCUCCGCCGUGCCGUCGCUGCCGCGAGCUCAUCGAUUUUUGGUAUCUAGGCUCGGGCCCACAGAUUCCCCCACUAGUAUGAUCAAUGUAGAUGAACUAAUGUAUGAUCAAUGUCGUUGCAAGUUUCUCUGGCGAAUGCUUUUCUUAAAAUUUUACAGUUUCAUAUACGAGGUCUGAUCUGCAGCGCACGAAUUCAAUCCGCAAAUCUCAUCUGUCUGUAAACACAAUUUGCGGGUCGGCAUUAUACGAGGUCUGCUAGAGAUGCUCUUAGAUGGGUUGUCAGGACCCCGACUCAAUGCCACAUAGAUCUAGCAUGUAACCCUUCAUAUCACUUUGCGGCCUCACGCACGGUAUUCCCACGGGUGUCGCCUUACCUUUACCCGGGACCGUUUGCGCCUUUUGGCACACAUAUAUGACAGUGUCGCUAGCAUCCAUAUGAUAAGGAGCCCGGGCUGACAUGGCUAGUCGUAAACCUAAAGUGGCACAGACUUACAGGGACAGGCAUCCAUGACCCAGCAUCGAACGUGUCGGUCAUCAACGAGUGAAUCCAGGUUGUAGCACUGGGCUAGCAGGACUCCGGUGAACCGGGCUGUAGCGGGCUAACAGGACUCCGGUAUUCAUCGCGUGACAUUUCCCCGAAGGGACAGACACAGGAACGAAGAAGGACACAUGCCAGCCAGCCUAAGUGUUCCGGAGCAGUAGCAAGCUACCAUGGCUCGGUGGAAACACUAGGAGACAUUUCCCGAUAAGAGAGGCUACUAAAGAUAAACAACUAGAUAGUCAGAUCCCACACAUACCAAGCAUUUCAAUAACAUACACACAAUAUGCUCGAUAUGUGCAACCACAACAUGGCAUCACAACAUGACUCUACGACUCAAGUACUUUAUUCAAUAGGCUCCGAGGAGCGAGAUAUUACAAACAGGGGUCUCAUGACCCAACAAUCAGAGCAUACAAAUCAAAGCACAAGCGGAAGCUAUCAUGUCUGGGUACAGACAUCUAUAACUGAAAAAGGCUGAGAAGCCUGACUAUCUACCAGAUCCUGCCGGGGCACAAGAUCGUAGCUGAGGUAACAAGCUAAAGGUCGAAGUCCACGUGGAACUACUAGUGAGACUGAAGUCUCUCUGCAAAAACAUAAAUUAAGCAACGUGAGUACAAAUGUACCCAGCAAGACUUACAUCAGAUCUAUCUACAUAUGCAUCAUUAUCAACAAAGGGGGUGGUGGGGUUUAACUGCAGCAAGCCAGCUUUGACUCGGUGGCUAUCCUAAACUACGACUGCAAGCGACUCUUUUGAGGUGGCGCACACGAGUCCACAUAUUCACCAUAUCAAUACACCACUAUGGAUCCGCUCCCGUCUCCCUGCGAGAAGGCCAUCCAUAGCACUCACGCUUAUCUUGCGUAUUUUAGAGUAUCCACUUUCACUUGUCUAUGAACUGAUAUAAGCAACCCAGAAGUCCUUUUCCACGGACACGGCUAUUCGAAUAGAUCAUAUUAACCCUGCAGGGGUGUACUUCUUCACACACGCUCUCACCACUUACCGCCGUUUACACGACAUGUACUCGGCAACCUUCAAGCGGAAGCCCAACGUGGGUGUCGGCCACGGCCUACCUAAACACUCAAGUCUCUAGUCCAGGUUUAUCGCCUAUUCGGGUUCCAUCCAUGAGGAGAUCCGGCCGGAGUUUCGCUCACAGCCCCAAACGAUGUGAACAGGGUUCCCGAGACACCAAACGGGCGCCCGGUACACCGUGCCACGUGCCUACCGCAUCACAGCCCACCCCUACGGUCAGCGCUGCCCACGGCCUCCAGCAUACUACAAACACCAGAAACUACUUGCAACUCCUGGACAGAGGACAAGGGUGGUCAAGAAGCCGAGAGGGUCCAUUGGUUUCGGGCCCAAUGCGUGGUAGUAGCUGAAUCAUGGAUCACAAACACAGAACUCAGUUCCUGAGGACGGCUGCAAUGAGACAACCCACCAUGUACUCCUACAUGGCCUCUCACCGCUACCUUUACCAAAUCGUCUUCACACACUUAGCUCACACACAGUAGGACAUGUUCACACGCCUCUGAUUCAUCCCCGAUGAAUCAGACCUGACUCAACUCUAAGCAGUAGCAGGCAUGACAAACAAACAUGAAGGAGUAGGCACAACAGGGCUCAAACAACUCCUACUCAUGCUAGUGGGUUUCAUCUAAUUACUGUGGAAUGACAGGUCAUGCAGAGGAUAAAGGGGUUCAGCUACCGCAGCAAGUAACAGAUGAAUCGAUGUUGUCCUAAUGCAGUAAAAGAGAGCAGGAGCGAGAGAGUGGGAUUUUAUCGGAAUGAACAAGGGGGUUUUGCUUGCCUGGCACUUCUGAAGAUAACAUUGAGUCUUCAUUAGUGUCAACGAUCACAUCAUCGGUAUCACGUCUAUCGAGAGGGGACAAAUACCGGCAACACAGAAGGGAACACAAUCAAUGCAAUGCACAAUAUGAUGCAUGAUCAUGACAUGGCAAAAUGAAUGCGUUUUGGGCUAAUGCAACUAGCAACAGAUUAAAUAAAGUUGGUUUGAAUAUAAUAUUCAAAUUCAAACUCCAUAUGUGAUUAUUCAAAUGCCAUUUAAUUGAUUUGUGCUAAACAGCAGCUAUAAGUUGUUCUAACAUGCAUGAAAAUGGUACAGAUGGAUUCCUUGAAUUUUUCUGAUAAUUUUUCAUAUAUAAUUUAUUUAAUUUGGAGUUACGGUUAAUUUUCUAUGAUUUAUUGAAGUUUUAGGCAUUUUCUGGAAUUUCCUGAAUAAUAUAAAAUAAACUAAAUUCCAGAAAAUGAAUAUUGCGUCAGCAUGACCUCAUAGUGACGUCAGCAGGUCAACGGGCGUCGUCCAGGUCAAACUGACCUGUGGGCCCUACGUGUCAGUGUCUGGACUAAUUAACCUAAUUAAAAUUAACCCUAACUAACUUAGUUAGCCGGGCGGGGCCCGCAUGUCAGUGAGUCAGUGGCUUAACUAAAUUCGUUAUUAAAUUAACCAAAAGUUAGCAGGGGACGGGCCCACACGUCGGUGACCCAGGGGGGUCAAAUCCCUGGUCAACCGGGCUAAUCCACCGGCGUCUAACCGCCGGCAACGACCAGACGCGGCGGUGGCUCGCCGGAAUGGCUGCUCCGGCGCCCAUUCGACGCGCGGAGGGGUUCUACAGGGAGCUCGAGCUCGUGCGCAUCCAAUGGAGCAAACCCGAGGAGCUGGGAUGGCCUGAGUCGACGGCGGCGAGCUCCAAGGCGACGGCCGGAGUUCGGGCACCUGCGGGUUUGGCGUUGUGGUGCUCGGGAGGGGAAGCUGGUUGGUGUGUUGGGCUCCUGGGGGCUUUAUGAGCACGGUGAAGCACUCCGUCGUGGUCAUGCGCGGCUAUGGCCACGGCUGCGCCAUGGCCGGCGGCGAGAAGCUCUCGGCCGCGACGGCAUCGGUGUUAGAGGAAGAGAUCGGGCCAGGGAAGAGGGGGAAACAGCACAGGAGCUCACAGCGGGUGCAGCGGUGGCCUCGGCGAGCUCGGGGAGGCACCGGAGCGAGCGAAGCAUCGAGGGGGAUCUCCGGCGGCCGAGGUCGGAAACGGCGGCACUGGCAAGGCUUCAGGGCGUCCGGCGUUGCGUAGCUCAGCGAGGAGGUCGAGGACGAUGCGUCAGAGCUUAUGGAACUGGCGGAGGGGCGAGGGAGGGCUGGUGGCUGCGGCUAUAGCGAACGGCGGCGACGGUCGCUCUCGGGUGCGUGCGAGAGAAAGAAUAGAGGAGGAGAUGGGGACGAGGGAGUGAGCGGGAGGGUUCCAGGGGUCGAGGCGGCGCCGAGGAGAAGGCGCGAGGCGUCAUGGUGGCCUCAGGCGAAGCAGACGAGCAGGGUGGUGGCGUGGCGAGCUCGGGCGCGUGCGCCGAGUCUCUCCUCUGCCUACUGGCGCGAGGAGGAAGGCGACAGGGAGGAGGAGGUGGGCUGGGCCGCACAGUGCUGGACCAGCACAGGAGCUGGGCCGGCUCUGGUGGGCUGCACGGGUAAGGCCAGAUAGGCUUUGCUCUUUUUAUUUCUUUUUCUUCUGUUUUGUUUUUAUUUAAUCUUUUGCCACUGUUUUGAAAUAAGACAAAUUCAAAGACAGUGACAAAAUUCCCCUGAACAUUUUAUUUAGCACAAUGGAAUUAUACCAAAGCACAUAAAAAUGUUUCAGUUAUUUGAACAUAUAUUCAGUAAUAUUUGGAUAUAAGUUCAAAUUCAAAAUAGUAUUGAUUUAAAUUCAAAGUCUCAAAAUAAAUCCUUUUAAAAUGUUCAAUAUUUUUGGUUUGGAUCAAAACCCUUGCCAAAAAUAUUAAACAUCUAAGAAGAACAUUUUGGAACAAUGAAUGAGAUUUUAGGGUUUUUGCCCUUCUUUUAUUUAGGGUUUUUGAGGCUUCUGAAUUCCUCAGUUCAAGUUUUAAAAAUUUACACAUGAUGCACAGAUGGAAGCAAGCACAGGACAGGCCAGAGCUAGGGAUGUGACAUGGGUGCUGUAGAGAUAGCCUCGUGCAUCGCAGGUUGGCAUUGCAGGUUUAUAAUCUCGGGUUGUAACUUGUAAGCCAGCAUCAGUUGUAGAGCAGGUGUGUCAAAAGAAAAACUCUUUCCUUUAUUUAUUUUUGAACCGAAAACCGUAGAACAAUUGUUCUAUGGUAUAUUUUCAUUAAAAUAAAAUAAAAGUAUGUUACGAGGGGAUCAAAAGAUCCCUAAAUACAAGGAAAACUUUGUCAAUUCCUGCUCUUGGAAGCAUUAGAGCUGAUUUAAAACAUGUUAUCUAGCCACUGUUUGAAGCUUUGAAAGUGCUUCGCCUUUAGCUUGUGCUGUAGGAGCUUCUGAUCUUGCUUGAGGUGAAAACGCCAAAAAUGUACCGUAUGUGGCAGACCUCUGAAAACUUUCCCAUUUCUCUUAUUCCAAGUAUUCCAGCAUCCAAGAAUAACUAUUUCUGUGGCAAAUUGUUGUGGAAGUUUUUCUAUCGCCAGUAGUGUUUCCUCGUAUAUUGAAGUACCUCUUGCCUUAUGGGAAUUAGAGUGUUCCAACAAUCCUGUGCAAAAUUACAGUCCCAAAGCAGGUGAAGGGUUGUCUCUUCAGCAUUCUGAUUGUAGUUUCGGCAGUGAGGAUUGUUCAGUUGCAUGCCUUUUCUCUGUAGGAGUGAUCUGGUGUUGAUUCUACUGUGGGCUACUAACCAGAAAAAUAUCUUAUGUCUGAGUCUGCUAGAGCUCUUUCAAGUCAACUUGAAGAUAGGGUGUACCUCCUCAUUACCCAUUAGGUGUUUGCACAUGUGCAUUGAAGAGUAUUUAUUUUGAAGGCCAUUGCAAGUCCAUUUAUCCUUCCCAUAUCUGUCCGGAGAGGGGAUAAUAUCCCCCAAGUUGAAUGAAUUGAUUGUAGGCUGUGUUGGAUAAAGGAGUGUGGAACUGUUCAAUCCAGCUUCCAGAGUCACAAAAUUCUUGGACAGACAAGGAGCCCCUAAUAGCAAAAGAGUGCAGCUCUCGGAAAUUUUGUUCCAAUAUAUCUCCUUCCUCUUUCCUUUAUUUUGGUUCUACCGGCCUUUUGUUAUCCUCAAGAAAAUGAUUUGUGCUCCAUAUAUCGAUAUGAAUCCUAUGGGAUAUGAUGGUAUUUCAUAUUCAGUACAAAUAUAAUAGUCGAAGCAUUGCAAUGCAGGUGAGGGUGGUACAUCUAAUAGUGCUUUUUUUGUGUGUGUUAGUGUUGCCUGUGUGCAUCCUAACUAUGCAGAGGCCAGAUAUGUACUCAUGCUUGUAUCCACUUGGUGCUUCAUUUUUAAGUUAUAAAAUUCAUCCGUUGUUGAAAAAAGAAUCAAAGCUCACUCAAAGUGAUGCUACGGAUUGGCCCACUUUCCAGUAUCUGCAUAUGGCUCUUUCUGUAUAAUGUGUCCUCGUGGCGAUUGAUGGGCGCAUCCAUAUCCCGUUUGAGAGCUCCUAUGCAACGCUUUAGGCGCCAAAAAGGAUAGCUGGCGCUUGCUAGCUUUCUUCACAGGCCGCAGCCCAAUAAGGCCACCUCCCUCUCGCGCCUGCUCGGUUUAUGAAGUUUGCUGGUUUUCUUUCGUUAUUACUUAUAGUACGACCUUUCCCUAAAAGAAACUUACAGUAUGAUCUAGUGUACUACUUCGUGUGUCCCGACUGCGACUAGCAAGUCGGGACGGAGGGAGAACUUGCCUCAAAAAGAAAAUAAAAACUACAGUCCUACAUGGCCAGCGGUUUUUAUCUACUAUACCACAUGGCCAGCGGUUUUCAAAAUAUAUGAAUAAAACUUCAUGAAUCGAGAAAAAGUUUAUGGUUUGAAAAAAGUCAUUUUUAGUUUUUUUUUAAUUUAAAAGAAAUCAUGAAAUUUUAAUAUAUAAUCAUGAAUUUCAAAUAAGUUCAUGACAUUUAAAAAAGUUCGUAAAUACUGAAAAAUUCAUAGAUUUUGAAACAAUGUAAGCGGAUUCGGAAGAAGUUCACUAAUUUAAUAAAGUGCUAGAUUUGAAAAUAGUUCAUGAAUUUCGGAAAAGAAGUUCAUGAAUUCAAAAAAAAUCAUGAGUCUGAAAAAACUUCACCAAUUUUUAAUAAGUGUGUGGACUUCAAAAUGUUAACAAUAUUUGAAAAUUAGUUUACGAAUUUUACAAGAUUUCAAUUUUUUUUUGGAAAACUUCAUGAAAAUUGGAAAAUUUUCAUAUUUUUUAGAUAAAAUCACAAAUUUGAAAAAACUUCACGGGUUUUUAGAAACUUCAUAAAAACUAAAAUGAAUUUGUGAAUUUGAAAAACAUUCACGCAUUUGACAAAAGUUCACGAAUUUGAAAAAGCUCACGAAUUGAAGAAAUAGUUUAUGAUUGAAAAAAAGUUCACAGAUUUUGAAAAUGGGAAAUAAAGAAAAAGGAAAAAAAGGAAGAAAAACUGGCCGAAACAAAACCGAAAAACAUGUGUCUUCUAGGCGCAAAACAUGAAACAAAAGAAGUAUUAUUAGGCACAAUAGGUGAGUCGUCUGUGUCAGUUACUAUGUUCGGAAGGAAACCUUGAGGUUCCUCCUUUGAAUCUCACUACCUGCAACAUUUUUGUACAUUCAAUAAAAUGGGCCAAGCCCAGGAUGCAAGGGGGUGUGCAUCGGUUUGUUGAGUUGCCUUUAGGCGUCGGGGUCUCGUUUGUAGGGAGACCGUGAGAUGGGCCGGCCUACGCGCGUGCGAUGCCAGAACCCCCCUUGUCUUUUCUUUUUCUUUUUAACUCUUAUACUCCCAAAUGUUCUAAAAAUAUAUUUAAAAAAUAAUGCGUCAAAAAUUGAAAAAUGUAAAUCAAACAUGGGAAAUGAUUAGCUUCAACCGACUGAUCUUUCAUUGCCCAUCCGCUUCCUCACGCUUGCGACGCGUGUCCUUAUGGGACCAGUUCGUUCUUAUCCUCACGCCAAUGUCCACGCCUCUCAUUCCUGAAGCUUCUCGGUGGGAUCGUUUUCUUCUCCUUUCGUCCACCCCGUCUGCUUCCAUCUCCCCCCACUCUCUCUCCUCGAGCCGGCGCUGCUCAUCCAUCUCUCUCAUCUCCCCUCUCCUCCAUACUAUGCUGCUGCAUCGGGGACAAGCCUCAUGCAUGGGAAAUACCUCGUUGACCAGAUCCAUUGCAUGCCUACUUCAAGGCUCCGGCGUUGUAGGCUAGGCCCCAGAUGUUACAUGCCUGUGUUACUCACCAUCGAGAUUUGGAUGAAAUUUACUACAUGAUACUACAAGUGCUUCAGGCGGAAUUUUCGCAACAAAGGUCUUGUUGCAGGAAUAUGGAGAAGAGGUCGCAGAUGAUGUAAUUUUUGGAACAAGGAAUACAUAGAAGUUUUUUUUUGCAACAAUGGUCUUGUUGCAAGAGUGCAUAGAUGAGGCCGGAGAUGUUGUUGCAAUUUUUGCAACACGGAUCUUGUUACAGGAAUCUAGGAAAGAUGCCGGAGAUAUUCUUGCAAUUUUUGCAACAAUGAUCUUGUUGCAGGAAUACGACAAAGGGAACAAGGAUUACUUGCCCCCGCGUGCCGGCGGCAGCUGAUUUUUUGUGGUGGUUGGGGGCGACAUCAUUCUGGGCGCAACUCUGUCGGGGACGGUGGACAAGGGAGUCUGUUUCUGAAACAGAACCGUUGUCGCGGAAAUUAAAGAGGGAUCAGCCGGCGCGAGGUGGUUACAUCGAACGGCUGUCAGCGCUCUGAUCCAACGGUUGUCCAACCGGCGGAUCAUUAUAACAUGUCCGCCGGCCGACGCCUAGCGUCGCCCAUCAAACAUUGGAAAUAUGUUAAAUACGUGUAGAAACAAAUGUUUAUCAUGUAUACAAAUAAUAUACAAUGUGUAUUUAAAAAGUUGAUAUGUAUUAAAAAAUGUCAAACGAGCAUUUAAAAAUGUUAAUAAAGAAUUUCAAAGACGUUAGUCAAGCAUUUAAAUAAUUCUAAAUGCAUAUAGAAAAAAUGUUUGUCAUGUAAUGAAAAUGUAUUAAAAAUAGUGUUUAUGAGAAAAUACUUUAUCAUGCACUAAAAAUGUUAAAUGUGUAUAGAAAAUGUUUCUGAUGUACAAUAAAAAUGUUCAACCGACAUGAAAUAAAAGUAGACAUAAAAAACCAUAUAUUUUAAAAAUGCUAACUAUGUCUUUACAAAAUGUUAAACAUGUAUAUGAAAAUGUACACUAUGUGUGAAAAACAUAUUUAUUGCCAAUAAAAAUGUUCACUAGUUACUUGAAAAAUGUUUACCUUGUAUUCAAAAAGUAAAACUUAUAUUUUCAAAACAUACAUCUUGUACCGAAAAAUGUUCAACGUGUAUCAACAUAAUGUUUCACGUCUACACUGAAAAUUACAUUGUGUACUGGAAAAAAGUAGAUAUGUGUUGAACAAAGAAAUAACCAAUAAAAAAUUGAGGAAGAAACAAGGAAAACUAAUGAAAACCGAAAAAUAAGCAAAAGAACAGAAGAAAACCACUGAAAAAGAAUGCAAACAUCAAAACCAAAGAAAAAACCAAGAAAAAAUGCGAAGGGAAAAACCAAAGGAGAAUAUAUAAUAAAAGGAAGUCCAUGAAAACAGAUAAAAAAACAGAGUAAACCGGAAGAAAUUAUAGAAAAGGAAAGAAACAAAAACAGUUAAACCCAAAAAAAAAGAACAUAGAAAACAGCGAGAAAAUAAACAAAACAGAAAAAUACAACCAUAGAAAACCUAACCAAAAACCAGUACAACGAUUUCCCAAGCGAGCGAGGAAAAGAAACGAGCAAACCGCUAAAUGAGUCGGCCCAGAAACAAAGCGCGAGGGAGUUUAUUCAAGCGAGCAGAGCAUAUAUCUCGCUAUAACCAAGAUAUAGCUCUUGCGGCAAUUGAUGCCCUUUUUUCUUCGCUAGUGUGACCCCCACUGAAUUAUUAUAUUUUUUGAAAUCAUCCAUGCAAUGUCCCAAAUAUUGAUCCAUAUGCUUACGUUUAAUUCUAUUGUUGCUCUCUUUAAAUUUACUUCGACUUGGCAACUGUUGGGUAUUUUUGUUACUAUGAUACUGCUUUGCCACAUACAUCACUUCUUUCAAACAAGCAUUUGUUUCAGAUGUGGUUGAAUUGACAACAUAAUUGCCAACUGCUAAAGUUUUUAAAUACUCUUUGGCUCUUUUGUGUCGAGUCAAUAAAUUUGUGUUGUGACCCCCUACGUUUGUGGAUCAUCAUCUAUACAUUAUUGCAUCAAUAACAAGUGAGCCACUCAUGUUUUGUUGGAAUUCCAAAAUGCAUAGUUUUGUAUUUAUUGACAAAAUGAUUGUGAAACUACUUAAAAUGGGCUAUUUCUUUAUAUUUUUACCCAGCUUAGUUUUUAAAGAAAUACUUGUACUUAUAGGAUGGUGAGCAUUUCCAAAAUCUGGAGUUGCCCUAGCAUCUUGAGCAAUAUUCCCUCCUUUNNNNNNNNNNNNNNNNNNNNNNNNNNNNNNNNNNNNNNNNNNNNNNNNNNNNNNNNNNNNNNNNNNNNNNNNNNNNNNNNNNNNNNNNNNNNNNNNNNNNNNNNNNNNNNNNNNNNNNNNNNNNNNNNNNNNNNNNNNNNNNNNNNNNNNNNNNNNNNNNNNNNNNNNNNNNNNNNNNNNNNNNNNNNNNNNNNNNNNNNNNNNNNNNNNNNNNNNNNNNNNNNNNNNNNNNNNNNNNNNNNNNNNNNNNNNNNNNNNNNNNNNNNNNNNNNNNNNNNNNNNNNNNNNNNNNNNNNNNNNNNNNNNNNNNNNNNNNNNNNNNNNNNNNNNNNNNNNNNNNNNNNNNNNNNNNNNNNNNNNNNNNNNNNNNNNNNNNNNNNNNNNNNNNNNNNNNNNNNNNNNNNNNNNNNNNNNNNNNNNNNNNNNNNNNNNNNNNNNNNNNNNNNNNNNNNNNNNNNNNNNNNNNNNNNNNNNNNNNNNNNNNNNNNNNNNNNNNNNNNNNNNNNNNNNNNNNNNNNNNNNNNNNNNNNNNNNNNNNNNNNNNNNNNNNNNNNNNNNNNNNNNNNNNNNNNNNNNNNNNNNNNNNNNNNNNNNNNNNNNNNNNNNNNNNNNNNNNNNNNNNNNNNNNNNNNNNNNNNNNNNNNNNNNNNNNNNNNNNNNNNNNNNNNNNNNNNNNNNNNNNNNNNNNNNNNNNNNNNNNNNNNNNNNNNNNNNNNNNNNNNNNNNNNNNNNNNNNNNNNNNNNNNNNNNNNNNNNNNNNNNNNNNNNNNNNNNNNNNNNNNNNNNNNNNNNNNNNNNNNNNNNNNNNNNNNNNNNNNNNNNNNNNNNNNNNNNNNNNNNNNNNNNNNNNNNNNNNNNNNNNNNNNNNNNNNNNNNNNNNNNNNNNNNNNNNNNNNNNNNNNNNNNNNNNNNNNNNNNNNNNNNNNNNNNNNNNNNNNNNNNNNNNNNNNNNNNNNNNNNNNNNNNNNNNNNNNNNNNNNNNNNNNNNNNNNNNNNNNNNNNNNNNNNNNNNNNNNNNNNNNNNNNNNNNNNNNNNNNNNNNNNNNNNNNNNNNNNNNNNNNNNNNNNNNNNNNNNNNNAAAUAUAAGAAAUGCACCUUACAUUUUGAAAUUUUAUCAAAAAACAAAUACACCUUAUAUAAAUGAACGGAGGGACUAGGUAACAAGGCAAAAUGUGUUGUAACCCAUCCAGUGUAAACUGAAUUGCAUGACACACAUCUGGGACCAAAGUUCCUUUCUGUGUGCCACAUCGAAGCAUCACAAGUCAAAUCAAUAUAGUGUAUUACUCCAAGUAAAAAAAUGAAUUACUCACUAGGUUCUCCAGAUUAAAGCUCCAUGCUAAAUCAAGCAAGCGAAAAGUGUGGAACCUAAGAACUUAAAGCGUGGAGGUCAAACAAGAUGCCUAGAUUGCUCGUCCUCUCUUAAUUCCUUUUUUUUGCGUGAAAUCUUCUGAUCUAUUCAUAAAUUGAAAAGGUAGUAUAAAGAACACCGGAAGUAAAAAAUACAUCCAGGUCUGUAGAUCGCCUAGCGACGACCACAAUCACUGGAGCGAGCCGCGCCGCCGUCUUCACCCUCCCUCAUUGGAGCCGGGUAAGCCUUGUUGUAGUAGACAGUCGGAAAGUUAUUGUGCUAAGGCAUCAUAUGACCAACACACCAUAAUAACAACCGCUGACGAUGCAGAGAAGCGUAGAUUGAAAGGAUCUAACUUGUAGACACAUGAAUACAGAUGAACGGAGACUGAAUCCUGUGAGAUCCGCCAGAAAUAAACCUCCACGCGCCCUCCGGCGAUGCUAGAAACACCACCAGAACUGAGACUAUGCGAGGAGAAUCUUAUUCCAUCUUCAGAGUGUUGUCACCAUCUCGCCACUCUGAGCAUGGCACAAACCCUAACAAAAACAAAAAAAUCAUGAAAAAAAACGAAGCCCUCCACCGGCAAGGCCAGGAUCCACCGCGUCUCCAUGACCCUAAGACCAUAGGAGACGAGAUAAGCGAUGGUGGCACCAACGGGAGGCGGGAGAAACCCUAGCUAGAGGGUCCUCUUUCUUCCAUCAAUCCUCUCUUAAUUCGAUGGAUUUUUUUGGUCUCACACAUGAUAAAUCACCCCGUGAUAAGGAAACCAUCUUGCAGAAAUUUGAUUCGACGUUAUAAUGAUAAUUAAAGUUAAUAUUUAUCCUGCCAGAGGGCAACAUAAAAAUUGGACAUACUUUGUAAAGAAAAAAAUACAUGCUUAAUAGAUAAAAAUUAUAGUGAAAGUCCCUGGUUUGAAAAGAAAAGGCAUGUUUAGGGCACAUUUAGAUGUGCCUUAGUAUUGUACAUUUAAACGACUCAAUCAAACAUAGAGAAGAACAAAAAAUACCCACAUGAAUCUCCACCUAAAAUCAAUGACCUAUGACUUAUAUGUGCAAUGUAGGGCACAUCCAGAUGUGCUUUGCUUUAGCAAAACCAUAAAAAAAUCACAUUAAAAUGUAUAGUAGAAAAUAUUAAAAAGUUAGUGCACAGAUUACUUCUUGCUCCCCCACAAAUGUUCUUGGGUAACAGGCCCCCGAGCCACAAGGCCCAGCAAGAUCUGUGACUAACUUUUGCUCCCCCACAAAUGAGCUUGGGUGACAGGCUAACGCGACAAAGCCCAGCCACAGUGUUGCAAGAGCUGUCCUUUUAUUCCCGUGUAUGCGAACUAAAUAAGGCGAGGUGGGACUAAAAGUUGUGUCUGCCAACAAAUUCAAGGUACUAACGGGCUAAACAAACAACAGCUUCUCCAAACUGAAAGCCCAAGUAAAGAAUCUCGCGGCGUGACGGCCCAACGACGACGACGCGGUAAAACGGGGAGGCAAACGCCAAGAGAAGGCUUCCUCCCAAAGCCUUCCAAGCCAGACACACGGCCGCCGCAGCCGAGAUGGCCGCCGGAGAUGCCACCCACGCGCCGCCGGCCGCGGAGGCGCAGUCUCUGGUGGAUUCGUUCUGCGCAGUCACCUCGGCGACCCCCGACGAGGCGACCUUCUUCCUCGAGGGCCACAACUGGGCCCUCGAGGCCGCCGUCCGCUCCUUCUACGACAACACGGAAGUCGACGCCGAUGGCCCCGAUCCGGCACCCCAGCCCCCGCCAGCCGGUUCGCCUCCGUGCUCCUCACCACGCGCCACGGCACCAUCGACGACCUCCUUCACACCGGCGAGCUCGCGGUAAGCCUCGAUUGCCUGAUUUCUCCACUCUCUUAGGCUCGUUUCUUACUGUGAUGUUUGUGUUCAGUUAGGCAAAAUUGGGGAUCGCAAUCAACUUGACACUAUCUUAUCUCAGCUCAAUUUAGUCCGGACCAAUAACUUUUUAUGUUAAAAAAAUUAAGCAAGUUGGAACUGCGUAGAAUCGAUCAACCUGAUCUAUACUGGAUUUAAGUGCUGAAUUUUACUGGAUUCAGUUGCCUUCAUAGUUACACUUUGACUUCUCGGAAAAGAAAAAAAACACUUGCUCGGUGGUUUCUUGACAGGGUCCGUUGGCCUAGAUGAGAUUAUCUAGAAAUCCAAUAAUUGGGCUGGCUGACAUCUAUAAUUAAGUGAUCUCGAGUAGUAUCAUGUGAGAAACAGCAAAGCUAGUUAGGUGUGACGUGAUUCACUCUGCUGGGUGCUGGCGAUCAAUCUGUCGCUGGGCCUGAAAAUGGGACUUCAUUGCUAAUUGGGGCGCCAUCGUUGUAAAGGUACAAGUAGGGCCAUGAAUCAGUGAUAGUGCCUUAUUGAGAUCACAAACCAAAGGGGGUUGGAACAGUGUAUAUAAGGUGUAGAGCUCCUGUAGUUUUCAGAUUUUGUCAUAAUCGCAAACAGUGACCUCUAUACUGUAUUAACAAAUAUAACAUGAUUACAAUUCAAAAAAAAANNNNNNNNNNNNNNNNNNNNNNNNNNNNNNNNNNNNNNNNNNNNNNNNNNNNNNNNNNNNNNNNNNNNNNNNNNNNNNNNNNAAAAAAAAAUCUAAUAUGGUUAGAAGUUCUGGUUUCAGGGGCACUUCAGCUAUUUUGGAAGCACCACAGUAUUUAGGCCAACAUAAGCUGAUAUUCAGAAGAAUCACACUUUAUCUGAGAUUAUCUAGAAAUCCAAUAAUUGGGCUGGCUGACAUCUUUAAUUAAGUGAUCUGGAGUAGCAUCAUGUGAGAAACAGCAAAGCUAGCAAGGUGUGACGUGAUUCACUCUGCUGGCCACUGAUCUGUCGAUGGGCCUGAAAAUGGCACUUCAUUCAUUUCUGAAUGCUAAUUUGUGCGGCAUCUUUCAAAGGUGUGAGUAGGGCCAUGAAUCAGUGAUCUUAUUGGAAUCUCAAACCGAAGGGGGUUGGAACUGUGUAUAGGAGGUGCAGAGGUCCUUUAGUUUCAGAUCUUUUCAUAGUCGCAAACAGCGACCUAUGUGACAUUAACAAAUCUAGCAGAUCAUUACAAGUUCUAGUUUCAGUGUUACUUGCUUCGGCUAUUUGGCAGCACUACUGUAUAGGAUAAGAUGCUACUUAGGAGCAGCUAAACUCAAAACAGAUAUAUGUGGUAAACUUACGGCAUUUUGAACUGAAAAACGGUGAAAGAAUUAAGAAUUUUCGGACACAUGUUACUUACAUUGUCUCAGCUCUGCAUACUUGGCAACAUUUCCAAAUACUGGUCCUAAUGUAUCUUCAUGUUUAAUUCUGCAGCUAUGUUCAGUGGUGCUAAUGUCCGGGCUCAUCAUAAUCCUGAGCAGCGCCGCCAAGAUCACUCACCAGGUGCAGGCCCUCAUGGGCCAGACCACCAAGUGGCACGCCUGCUGCACCAUCGAGCCGGUCCCGGACGACGAGAUAGAUCCGGGAUCCAACCAGAACUCCAUGCUGGAGGAGUACCCCGAGCCCGAGGACGAGAGCGACUGUGAGUCCAGCGAGGAGACCGGCGACGAGGACAUGGUGGAGAACACCAAGUUCCUCCAGCCUCACAUGCACGUGAUCUCCUUCCAGAAGAGGCAGGCACUAGGUACGUAUGAUCAUCGACAGUUAUCAUACAUUUCGUCGAAUCUUGGGGCUGAUGGAAAACGCUGUUGCAGUGACCUUCCUGGAGAACAACAACGCCGGCAUCACCGUCUUCGGGUUCACGCUGGACCGGUCGUACCUCCACACGAUAUUCAUGCUCGAGUGGACGUUCUUCCUGUGGCUGCUGGGGAAAACAGUCGGCUUCUCGUGAAGACGAGGGACUGUAUGCACCAAGGUUCUAUUCUGUUCCAUGUUUUUUUGCUGUUGUGCUCCGUUUGAUCCUUGUGUGAAAAGAGAAGGAGNNNNNNNNNNNNNNNNNNNNNNNNNNNNNNNNNNNNNNNNNNNNNNNNNNNNNNNNNNNNNNNNNNNNNNNNNNNNNNNNNNNNNNNNNNNNNNNNNNNNNNNNNNNNNNNNNNNNNNNNNNNNNNNNNNNNNNNNNNNNNNNNNNNNNNNNNNNNNNNNNNNNNNNNNNNNNNNNNNNNNNNNNNNNNNNNNNNNNNNNNNNNNNNNNNNNNNNNNNNNNNNNNNNNNNNNNNNNNNNNNNNNNNNNNNNNNNNNNNNNNNNNNNNNNNNNNNNNNNNNNNNNNNNNNNNNNNNNNNNNNNNNNNNNNNNNNNNNNNNNNNNNNNNNNNNNNNNNNNNNNNNNNNNNNNNNNNNNNNNNNNNNNNNNNNNNNNNNNNNNNNNNNNNNNNNNNNNNNNNNNNNNNNNNNNNNNNNNNNNNNNNNNNNNNNNNNNNNNNNNNNNNNNNNNNNNNNNNNNNNNNNNNNNNNNNNNNNNNNNNNNNNNNNNNNNNNNNNNNNNNNNNNNNNNNNNNNNNNNNNNNNNNNNNNNNNNNNNNNNNNNNNNNNNNNNNNNNNNNNNNNNNNNNNNNNNNNNNNNNNNNNNNNNNNNNNNNNNNNNNNNNNNNNNNNNNNNNNNNNNNNNNNNNNNNNNNNNNNNNNNNNNNNNNNNNNNNNNNNNNNNNNNNNNNNNNNNNNNNNNNNNNNNNNNNNNNNNNNNNNNNNNNNNNNNNNNNNNNNNNNNNNNNNNNNNNNNNNNNNNNNNNNNNNNNNNNNNNNNNNNNNNNNNNNNNNNNNNNNNNNNNNNNNNNNNNNNNNNNNNNNNNNNNNNNNNNNNNNNNNNNNNNNNNNNNNNNNNNNNNNNNNNNNNNNNNNNNNNNNNNNNNNNNNNNNNNNNNNNNNNNNNNNNNNNNNNNNNNNNNNNNNNNNNNNNNNNNNNNNNNNNNNNNNNNNNNNNNNNNNNNNNNNNNNNNNNNNNNNNNNNNNNNNNNNNNNNNNNNNNNNNNNNNNNNNNNNNNNNNNNNNNNNNNNNNNNNNNNNNNNNNNNNNNNNNNNNNNNNNNNNNNNNNNNNNNNNNNNNNNNNNNNNNNNNNNNNNNNNNNNNNNNNNNNNNNNNNNNNNNNNNNNNNNNNNNNNNNNNNNNNNNNNNNNNNNNNNNNNNNNNNNNNNNNNNNNNNNNNNNNNNNNNNNNNNNNNNNNNNNNNNNNNNNNNNNNNNNNNNNNNNNNNNNNNNNNNNNNNNNNNNNNNNNNNNNNNNNNNNNNNNNNNNNNNNNNNNNNNNNNNNNNNNNNNNNNNNNNNNNNNNNNNNNNNNNNNNNNNNNNNNNNNNNNNNNNNNNNNNNNNNNNNNNNNNNNNNNNNNNNNNNNNNNNNNNNNNNNNNNNNNNNNNNNNNNNNNNNNNNNNNNNNNNNNNNNNNNNNNNNNNNNNNNNNNNNNNNNNNNNNNNNNNNNNNNNNNNNNNNNNNNNNNNNNNNNNNNNNNNNNNNNNNNNNNNNNNNNNNNNNNNNNNNNNNNNNNNNNNNNNNNNNNNNNNNNNNNNNNNNNNNNNNNNNNNNNNNNNNNNNNNNNNNNNNNNNNNNNNNNNNNNNNNNNNNNNNNNNNNNNNNNNNNNNNNNNNNNNNNNNNNNNNNNNNNNNNNNNNNNNNNNNNNNNNNNNNNNNNNNNNNNNNNNNNNNNNNNNNNNNNNNNNNNNNNNNNNNNNNNNNNNNNNNNNNNNNNNNNNNNNNGGGAGCUCUGGGGAUGACGCAGAGCGUCGCGCCAGAUCCGACGCCGCACGCAAGCGGGGCGCACGGAGGUGGCUCAACCGCGGUAGCCGGUCGCCGCCAACGUUUGAACGCCGCGAGCUGGUCGAGUUCGAGCGCAAGCUUGCCCGCCGCCACCACGCCUCAUUCGGCUCCUCUGCCGCAGAGAGCUUGUCCGCGGGCGCCUCGAGCUCGUGGCUCAGUCCGAUGAAGAGAGAGCCGGAGGAACUCGGGCCGCUCGCCGUCAAGCUCGAGGCCGAGGCGCCGCCGCGUCGAGGAGUGAUUGACCCCAAGGACUACCUCCCCCCGGGGCAGGAGGAGCACCUAGAGCGUGUCGUCAUGGAGCGGUCGGCGAGGGAGCGGGAGGAGGGCGAAGUGCGCCGCCGACGCGAGCUCGAGUACGAGCAGAUGUUCCCCAGACGGGUGUUGCGGCGUUGCAGGUCCGCCUCCAUGAAGGUGGAGCAAGCCAAGUUCUUCAUCGACCUCGACCCCUCCGACGAGGACUUAGCUCCUCCGGCUCCUUCGCCGUGCUGUCGCUGCCGCGAGCUCAUCGAUUUUUGGUAUCUAGGCUCGGGCCCACAGAUUCCCCCACUAGUAUGAUCAAUGUAGAUGAACUAAUGUAUGAUCAAUGUCGUUGCAAGUUUCUCUGGCGAAUGCUUUUCUUAAAAUUUUACAGUUUCAUAUACGAGGUCUGAUCUGCAGCGCACGAAUUCAAUCCGCAAAUCUCAUCUGUCUGUAAACACAAUUUGCGGGUCGGCAUUAUACGAGGUCUGCUAGAGAUGCUCUUAGAUGGGUGCUGUAGAGAUAGCCUCGUGCAUCGCAGGUUGGCAUUGCAGGUUUAUAAUCUCGGGUUGUAACUUGUAAGCCAGCAUCAGUUGUAGAGCAGGUGUGUCAAAAGAAAAACUCUUUCCUUUAUUUAUUUUUGAACCGAAAACCGUAGAACAAUUGUUCUAUGGUAUAUUUUCAUUAAAAUAAAAUAAAAGUAUGUUACGAGGGGAUCAAUACAAGGAAAACUUAGUCAAUUCCUGCUCUUGGAAGCAUUAGAGCUGAUUUAAAACAUGUUAUCUAGCCACUGUUUGAAGCUUUGAAAGUGCUUCGCCUUUAGCUUGUGCUGUAGGAGCUUCUGAUCUUGCUUGAGGUGAAAACGCCAAAAAUGUACCGUAUGUGGCAGACCUCUGAAAACUUUCCCAUUUCUCUUAUUCCAAGUAUUCCAGCAUCCAAGAAUAACUAUUUCUGUGGCAAAUUGUUGUGGAAGUUUUUCUAUCGCCAGUAGUGUUUCCUCGUAUAUUGAAGUACCUCUUGCCUUAUGGGAAUUAGAGUGUUCCAACAAUCCUGUGCAAAAUUACAGUCCCAAAGCAGGUGAAGGGCUGUCUCUUCAGCAUUCUGAUUGUAGUUUCGGCAGUGAGGAUUGUUCAGUUGCAUGCCUUUUCUCUGUAGGAGUGAUCUGGUGUUGAUUCUACUGUGGGCUACUAACCAGAAAAAUAUCUUAUGUCUGAGUCUGCUAGAGCUCUUUCAAGUCAACUUGAAGAUAGGGUGUACCUCCUCAUUACCCAUUAGGUGUUUGUACAUGUGCAUUGAAGAGUAUUUAUUUUGAAGGCCAUUGCAAGUCCAUUUAUCCUUCCCAUAUCUGUCCGGAGAGGGGAUAAUAUCCCCCAAGUUGAAUGAAUUGAUUGUAGGCUGUGUUGGAUAAAGGAGUGUGGAACUGUUCAAUCCAGCUUCCAGAGUCACAAAAUUCUUGGACAGACAAGGAGCCCCUAAUAGCAAAAGAGUGCAGCUCUCGAAAAUUUUGUUCCAAUAUAUCUCCUUCCUCUUUCCUUUAUUUUGGUUCUACCGGCCUUCUGUUAUCCUCAAGAAAAUGAUUUGUACUCCAUAUAUCGAUAUGAAUCCUACGGGAUAUGAUGGUAUUUCAUAUUCAGUACAAAUAUAAUAGUCAAAGCAUUGCAAUGCAGGUGAGGAUGGUACAUCUAAUAGUGCUUUUUUUUGUGUGUUAGUAUUGCCUGUGUGCAUCCUAACUAUGCAGAGGCCAGAUAUGUACUCAUGCUUGUAUCCACUUGGUGCUUCAUUUUUAAGUUAUAAAAUUCAUCCGUUGUUGAAAAAAGAAUCAAAGCUCACUCAAAGUGAUGCUACGGAUUGGCCCACUUUCCAGUAUCUGCAUAUGGCUCUUUCUGUAUAAUGUGUCCUCGUGGCGAUUGAUGGGCGCAUCCAUAUCCCGUUUGAGAGCUCCUAUGCAACGCUUUAGGCGCCAAAAAGGAUAGCUGGCGCUUGCUAGCUUUCUUCACAGGCCGCAGCCCAAUAAGGCCACCUCCCUCUCGCGCCUGCUCGGUUUAUGAAGUUUGCUGGUUUUCUUUCGUUAUUACUUAUAGUACGACCUUUCCCUAAAAGAAACUUACAGUAUGAUCUAGUGUACUACUUCGUGUGUCCCGACUGCGACUAGCAAGUCGGGACGGAGGGAGAACUUGCCUCAAAAAGAAAAUAAAAACUACAGUCCUACAUGGCCAGCGGUUUUUAUCUACUAUACCACAUGGCCAGCGGUUUUCAAAAUAUAUGAAUAAAACUUCAUGAAUCGAGAAAAAGUUUAUGGUUUGAAAAAAGUCAUUUUUAGUUUUUUUUUAAUUUAAAAGAAAUCAUGAAAUUUUCAUAUAUAAUCAUGAAUUUCAAAUAAGUUCAAGACAUUUAAAAAAGUUCGUAAAUACUGAAAAAUUCAUAGAUUUUGAAACAAUGUAAGCGGAUUCGGAAGAAGUUCACUAAUUUAAUAAAGUGCUAGAUUUGAAAAUAGUUCAUGAAUUUCGGAAAAGAAGUUCAUGAAUUCAAAAAAAAUCAUGAGUCUGAAAAAACUUCACCAAUUUUUAAUAAGUGUGUGGACUUCAAAAUGUUAACAAUAUUUGAAAAUUAGUUCACGAAUUUUACAAGAUUUCAAUUUUUUUUUGGAAAACUUCAUGAAAAUUGGAAAAUUUUCAUAUUUUUUAGAUAAAAUCACAAAUUUGAAAAAACUUCACGGGUUUUUAGAAACUUCAUAAAAACUAAAAUGAAUUUGUGAAUUUGAAAAACAUUCACGCAUUUGACAAAAGUUCACGAAUUUCAAAAAGCUCACGAAUUGAAGAAAUAGUUUAUGAUUGAAAAAAAUUCACAGAUUUUGAAAAUGGGAAAUAAAGAAAAAGGAAAAAAGGAAGAAAAACUGGCCGAAACAAAACCGAAAAACAUGUGUCUUCUAGGCGCUAAACAUGAAACAAAAGAAGUAUUAUUAGGCACAAUAGGUGAGUCGUCUGUGUCAGUUACUAUGUUCGGAAGGAAACCUUGAGGUUCCUCCUUUGAAUCUCACUACCUGCAACAUUUUUGUAGAUUCAAUAAAAUGGGCCAAGCCCAGGAUGCAAGGGGGUGUGCAUCGGUUUGUUGAGUUGCCUUUAGGCGUCGGGGUAUCAUUUGUAGGGAGACCGUGAGAUGGGCCGGCCUACGCGCGUGCGAUGCCAGAACCCCCCUUGUCUUUUCUUUUUCUUUUUAACUCUUAUACUCCCAAAUAUUCUAAAAAUAUAUUUAAAAAAUAAUGCGUCAAAAAUUGAAAAAUGUAAAUCAAACAUGGGAAAUGAUUAGCUUCAACCGACUGAUCUUUCAUUGCCCAUCCGCUUCCUCACGCUUGCGACGCGUGUCCUUAUGGGACCAGUUCGUUCUUAUCCUCACGCCAAUGUCCACGCCUCUCAUUCCUGAAGCUUCUCGGUGGGAUCGUUUUCUUCUCCUUUCGUCCACCCCAUCUGCUUCCAUCUCCCCCCACUCUCUCUCCUUGAGCCGGCGCUGCUCAUCCAUCUCUCUCAUCUCCCCUCUCCUCCAUACUAUGCUGCUGCAUCGGGGACAAGCCUCAUGCAUGGGACAUACCUUGUUGACCAGAUCCAUUGCAUGCCUACUUUAAGGCUCCGACGUUGUAGGCUAGGCCCCAGAUGUUACAUGCCUGUGUUACUCACCGUCGAGAUUUGGAUGAAAUUUACUACAUGAUACUACAAGUGCUUCAGGCGGAAUUUUCGCAACAAAGGUCUUGUUGCAGGAAUAUGGAGAAGAGGUCGCAGAUGAUGUAAUUUUUGGAACAAGGAAUACAUAGAAGUUUUUUUUUUGCAACAAUGGUCUUGUUGCAAGAGUGCAUAGAUGAGGCCGGAGAUGUUGUUGCAAUUUUUGCAACACGGAUCUUGUUACAGGAAUCUAGGAAAGAUGUCGGAGAUAUUCUUGCAAUUUUUGCAACAAUGAUCUUGUUGCAGGAAUACGACAAAGGGAACAAGGAUUACUUGCCCCCGCGUGCCGGCGGCAGCUAAUUUUUUGUGGUGGUUGGGGGCGACAUCAUUCUGGGCGCAACUCUGUCGGGGACGGUGGACAAGGGAGUCUGUUUCUGAAACAGAACCGUUGUCGCGGAAAUUAAAGAGGGAUCAGCCGGCGCGAGGUGGUUACAUCGAACGGCUGUCAGCGCUCUGAUCCAACGGUUGUCCAACCGGCGGAUCAUUAUAACAUGUCCGCCGGCCGACGCCUAGCGUCACCCAUCAAACAUUGGAAAUAUGUUAAAUACGUGUAGAAACAAAUGUUUAUCAUGUAUACAAAUAUUAUACAAUGUGUAUUUAAAAAGUUGAUAUGUAUUAAAAAAUGUCAAACGAGCAUUUAAAAAUGUUAAUAAAGAAUUUCAAAGACGUUAAUCAAGCAUUUAAAUAAUUCUAAAUGCAUAUAGAAAAAAUGUUUGUCAUGUAAUGAAAAUGUAUUAAAAAUAGUGUUUAUGAGAAAAUACUUUAUCAUGCACUAAAAAUGUUAAAUGUGUAUAGAAAAUGUUUCUGAUGUACAAUAAAAAUGUUCAACCGACAUGAAAUAAAAGUAGACAUAAAAAACCAUAUAUUUUAAAAAUGCUAACUAUGUCUUUACAAAAUGUUAAACAUGUAUAUGAAAAUGUACACUAUGUGUGAAAAACAUAUUUAUUGCCAAUAAAAAUGUUCACUAGUUACUUGAAAAAUGUUUACCUUGUAUUCAAAAAGUAAAACUUAUAUUUUCAAAACAUACAUCUUGUACUGAAAAAUGUUCAACGUGUAUCAACUUAAUGUUUCACGUCUACACUGAAAAUUACAUUGUGUACUGGAAAAAAGUAGAUAUGUGUUGAACAAAGAAAUAACCAAUAAAAAAUUGAGGAAGAAACAAGGAAAACUAAUGAAAACCGAAAAAUAAGCAAAAGAACAGAAGAAAACCACUGAAAUAGAAUGCAAACAUCAAAACCAAAGAAAAAACCAAGAAAAAAUGCGAAGGGAAAAACCAAAGGAGAAUAUAUAAUAAAAGGAAGUCCAUGAAAACAGAUAAAAAAACAGAGUAAACUGGAAGAAAUUAUAGAAAAGGAAAGAAACAAAAACAGUUAAACCCAAAAAAAAAGAACAUAGAAAACAGCGAGAAAAUAAACAAAACAGAAAAAUACAACCAUAGAAAACCUAACCAAAAACCAGUACAACGAUCUCCCAAGCGAGCGAGGAAAAGAAACGAGCAAACCGCUAAAUGAGUCGGCCCAGAAACAAAGCGCGAGGGAGUUUAUUCAAGCGAGCAGAGCAUAUAUCUCGCUAUAACCAAGAUAUAGCUCUUGCGGCAAUUGAUGCCCUUUUUUCUUCGCUAGUGUGACCCCCACUGAAUUAUUAUAUUUUUUGAAAUCAUCCAUGCAAUGUCCCAAAUAUUGAUCCAUAUGCUUACGUUUAAUUCUAUUGUUGCUCUCUUUAAAUUUACUUCGACUUGGCAACUGUUGGGUAUUUUUGUUACUAUGAUACUGCUUUGCCACAUACAUCACUUCUUUCAAACAAGCAUUUGUUUCAGAUGUGGUUGAAUUGACAACAUAAUUGCCAACUGCUAAAGUUUUUAAAUACUCUUUGGCUCUUUUGUGUCGAGUCAAUAAAUUUGUGUUGUGACCCCCUACGUUUGUGGAUCAUCAUCUAUACAUUAUUGCAUCAAUAACAAGUGAGCCACUCAUGUUUUGUUGGAAUUCCAAAAUGCAUAGUUUUGUAUUUAUUGACAAAAUGAUUGUGAAACUACUUAAAAUGGGCUAUUUCUUUAUAUUUUUACCCAGCUUAGUUUUUAAAGAAAUACUUGUACUUAUAGGAUGGUGAGCAUUUCCAAAAUCUGGAGUUGCCCUAGCAUCUUGAGCAAUAUUCCCUCCUUUCCUUUAUGUAACGUGUAUUAUUUUCAGGACGGUGACCAAGGCACAUAAUUAUAGACUAGUUAGGACGAAAUUAUCCUUGACAAAUUUGUUGAUUAGUGCCAAGUAAAUCAGUUAGUACAGGAAAGUAACAGAUACAUGCAAUCGAUAAAAAGAUACUUUUCUUCUUCUGUUACAAGGGGAGAUAUAGGCAAUCAGAAAGUAGAUACUUACCUUUUCUGGAGGACUAACAAGGGAAUUAUAAGGAAAUAUAAGAAAUGCACCUUACAUUUUGAAAUUUUAUCAAAAAACAAAUACACCUUAUAUAAAUGAACGGAGGGACUAGGUAACAAGGCAAAAUGUGUUGUAACCCAUCCAGUGUAAACUGAAUUGCAUGACACACAUCUCGGACCAAAGUUCCUUUCUGUGUGCCACAUCGAAGCAUCACAAGUCAAAUCAAUAUAGUGUAUUACUCCAAGUAAAAAAAUGAAUUACUCACUAGGUUCUCCAGAUUAAAGCUCCAUGCUAAAUCAAGCAAGCGAAAAGUGUGGAACCUAAGAACUUAAAGCGUGGAGGUCAAACAAGAUGCCUAGAUUGCUCGUCCUCUCUUAAUUCCUUUUUUUGCGUGAAAUCUUCUGAUCUAUUCAUAAAUUGAAAAGGUAGUAUAAAGAACACCGGAAGUAAAAAAUACAUCCAGGUCUGUAGAUCGCCUAGCGACGACCACAAUCACUGGAGCGAGCCGCGCCGCCGUCUUCACCCUCCCUCAUUGGAGCCGGGUAAGCCUUGUUGUAGUAGACAGUCGGAAAGUUGUUGUGCUAAGGCAUCAUAUGACCAACACACCAUAAUAACAACCGCUGACGAUGCAGAGAAACGUAGAUUGAAAGGAUCUAACUUGUAGACACAUGAAUACAGAUGAACGGAGACUGAAUCCUGUGAGAUCCGCCAGAAAUAAACCUCCACGCGCCCUCCGGCGAUGCUAGAAACACCACCAGAACUGGGACUAUGCGAGGAGAAUCUUAUUCCAUCUUCAGAGUGUUGUCACCAUCUCGCCACUCUGAGCACGGCACAAACCCUAACAAAAACAAAAAAAUCAUGAAAAAAAACGAAGCCCUCCACCGGCAAGGCCAGGAUCCACCGCGUCUCCAUGACCCUAAGACCAUAGGAGACGAGAUAAGCGAUGGUGGCACCAACGGGAGGCGGGAGAAACCCUAGCUAGAGGGUCCUCUUUCUUCCAUCAAUCCUCUCUUAAUUCGAUGGAUUUUUUUGGUCUCACACAUGAUAAAUCACCCCGUGAUAAGGAAACCAUCUUGCAGAAAUUUGAUUCGACGUUAUAAUGAUAAUUAAAGUUAAUAUUUAUCCUGCCAGAGGGCAACAUAAAAAUUGGACAUACUUUGUAAAGAAAAAAAAUACAUGCUUAAUAGAUAAAAAUUAUAGUGAAAGUCCCUGGUUUGAAAAGAAAAGGCAUGUUUAGGGCACAUUUAGAUGUGCCUUAGUAUUGUACAUUUAAACGACUCAAUCAAACAUAAAGAAGAACAAAAAAUACCCAGAUGAAUCUCCACCUAAAAUCAAUGACCUAUGACUUAUAUGUGCAAUGUAGGGCACAUCCAGAUGUGCUUUGCUUUAGCAAAACCAUAAAAAAAUCACAUUAAAAUGUAUAGUAGAAAAUAUUAAAAAGUUAGUGCACAGAUUACUUCUUGCUCCCCCACAAAUGUUCUUGGGUAACAGGCCCCCGAGCCACAAGGCCCAGCAAGAUCUGUGACUAACUUUUGCUCCCCCACAAAUGAGCUUGGGUGACAGGCUAACGCGACAAAGCCCAGCCACAGUGUUGCAAGAGCUGUCCUUUUAUUCCCGUGUAUGCGAACUAAAUAAGGCGAGGUGGGACUAAAAGUUGUGUCUGCCAACAAAUUCAAGGUACUAACGGGCUAAACAAACAACAGCUUCUCCAAACUGAAAGCCCAAGUAAAGAAUCUCGCGGCGUGACGGCCCAACGACGACGACGCGGUAAAACGGGGAGGCAAACGCCAAGAGAAGGCUUCCUCCCAAAGCCUUCCAAGCCAGACACACGGCCGCCGCAGCCGAGAUGGCCGCCGGAGAUGCCACCCACGCGCCGCCGGCCGCGGAGGCGCAGUCUCUGGUGGAUUCGUUCUGCGCAGUCACCUCGGCGACCCCCGACGAGGCGACCUUCUUCCUCGAGGGCCACAACUGGGCCCUCGAGGCCGCCGUCCGCUCCUUCUACGACAACACGGAAGUCGACGCCGAUGGCCCCGAUCCGGCACCCCAGCCCCCGCCAGCCGGUUCGCCUCCGUGCUCCUCACCACGCGCCACGGCACCAUCGACGACCUCCUUCACACCGGCGAGCUCGCGGUAAGCCUCGAUUGCCUGAUUUCUCCACUCUCUUAGGCUCGUUUCUUACUGUGAUGUUUGUGUUCAGUUAGGCAAAAUUGGGGAUCGCAAUCAACUUGACACUAUCUUAUCUCAGCUCAAUUUAGUCCGGACCAAUAACUUUUUAUGUUAAAAAAAUUAAGCAAGUUGGAACUGCGUAGAAUCGAUCAACCUGAUCUAUACUGGAUUUAAGUGCUGAAUUUUACUGGAUUCAGUUGCCUUCAUAGUUACACUUUGACUUCUCGGAAAAGAAAAAAAACACUUGCUCGGUGGUUUCUUGACAGGGUCCGUUGGCCUAGAUGAGAUUAUCUAGAAAUCCAAUAAUUGGGCUGGCUGACAUCUAUAAUUAAGUGAUCUCGAGUAGUAUCAUGUGAGAAACAGCAAAGCUAGUUAGGUGUGACGUGAUUCACUCUGCUGGGUGCUGGCGAUCAAUCUGUCGCUGGGCCUGAAAAUGGGACUUCAUUGCUAAUUGGGGCGCCAUCGUUGUAAAGGUACAAGUAGGGCCAUGAAUCAGUGAUAGUGCCUUAUUGAGAUCACAAACCAAAGGGGGUUGGAACAGUGUAUAUAAGGUGUAGAGCUCCUGUAGUUUUCAGAUUUUGUCAUAAUCGCAAACAGUGACCUCUAUACUGUAUUAACAAAUAUAACAUGAUUACAAUUCAAAAAAAAANNNNNNNNNNNNNNNNNNNNNNNNNNNNNNNNNNNNNNNNNNNNNNNNNNNNNNNNNNNNNNNNNNNNNNNNNNNNNNNNNNNNNNNNNNNNNNNNNNNNNNNNNNNNNNNNNNNNNNNNNNNNNNNNNNNNNNNNNNNNNNNNNNNNNNNNNNNNNNNNNNNNNNNNNNNNNNNNNNNNNNNNNNNNNNNNNNNNNNNNNNNNNNNNNNNNNNNNNNNNNNNNNNNNNNNNNNNNNNNNNNNNNNNNNNNNNNNNNNNNNNNNNNNNNNNNNNNNNNNNNNNNNNNNNNNNNNNNNNNNNNNNNNNNNNNNNNNNNNNNNNNNNNNNNNNNNNNNNNNNNNNNNNNNNNNNNNNNNNNNNNNNNNAAAAAAAAAUCUAAUAUGGUUAGAAGUUCUGGUUUCAGGGGCACUUCAGCUAUUUUGGAAGCACCACAGUAUUUAGGCCAACAUAAGCUGAUAUUCAGAAGAAUCACACUUUAUCUGAGAUUAUCUAGAAAUCCAAUAAUUGGGCUGGCUGACAUCUUUAAUUAAGUGAUCUGGAGUAGCAUCAUGUGAGAAACAGCAAAGCUAGCAAGGUGUGACGUGAUUCACUCUGCUGGCCACUGAUCUGUCGAUGGGCCUGAAAAUGGCACUUCAUUCAUUUCUGAAUGCUAAUUUGUGCGGCAUCUUUCAAAGGUGUGAGUAGGGCCAUGAAUCAGUGAUCUUAUUGGAAUCUCAAACCGAAGGGGGUUGGAACUGUGUAUAGGAGGUGCAGAGGUCCUUUAGUUUCAGAUCUUUUCAUAGUCGCAAACAGCGACCUAUGUGACAUUAACAAAUCUAGCAGAUCAUUACAAGUUCUAGUUUCAGUGUUACUUGCUUCGGCUAUUUGGCAGCACUACUGUAUAGGAUAAGAUGCUACUUAGGAGCAGCUAAACUCAAAACAGAUAUAUGUGGUAAACUUACGGCAUUUUGAACUGAAAAACGGUGAAAGAAUUAAGAAUUUUCGGACACAUGUUACUUACAUUGUCUCAGCUCUGCAUACUUGGCAACAUUUCCAAAUACUGGUCCUAAUGUAUCUUCAUGUUUAAUUCUGCAGCUAUGUUCAGUGGUGCUAAUGUCCGGGCUCAUCAUAAUCCUGAGCAGCGCCGCCAAGAUCACUCACCAGGUGCAGGCCCUCAUGGGCCAGACCACCAAGUGGCACGCCUGCUGCACCAUCGAGCCGGUCCCGGACGACGAGAUAGAUCCGGGAUCCAACCAGAACUCCAUGCUGGAGGAGUACCCCGAGCCCGAGGACGAGAGCGACUGUGAGUCCAGCGAGGAGACCGGCGACGAGGACAUGGUGGAGAACACCAAGUUCCUCCAGCCUCACAUGCACGUGAUCUCCUUCCAGAAGAGGCAGGCACUAGGUACGUAUGAUCAUCGACAGUUAUCAUACAUUUCGUCGAAUCUUGGGGCUGAUGGAAAACGCUGUUGCAGUGACCUUCCUGGAGAACAACAACGCCGGCAUCACCGUCUUCGGGUUCACGCUGGACCGGUCGUACCUCCACACGAUAUUCAUGCUCGAGUGGACGUUCUUCCUGUGGCUGCUGGGGAAAACAGUCGGCUUCUCGUGAAGACGAGGGACUGUAUGCACCAAGGUUCUAUUCUGUUCCAUGUUUUUUUGCUGUUGUGCUCCGUUUGAUCCUUGUGUGAAAAGAGAAGGAGUAGGGUUUUUUGUGUGCGCGUGCGGGUGGCACGUGAGUGGUGUGCACUUGUUCGUGUGUGUAUGCUAGCAGCGAUUUGGUAUGCUGAUGAUCCUGUAAAUUAUCAUGGGUUGAUUGCAUGUGGAUGUAAGGUCUAUGUACAGUGAUUAGAGCAUCUCUAUCUAGCAGACCUCGUAAAAGGGCCGAACCCGUAUAAUUCCGGCGAGUAUACGAGUUCUGCUCGUUUUUCUAGCCAGAGUAGACACCGUAUCCGUGGCCUGGCCCGUAUGGCCCGCAAAAAGUCUCUCCCCACCGCUAUAUAUGCGGUUUCACUGCUCGGAUACGGGUCAAACCUCGUAAAAGGGCCGAACCCGUAUAAUUCCGGCGAGUAUACGGGUUCGGCCUGUUUUUCUGGCCAGAGUAGACACCGUAUCCGCAGCCCGGCCCUAAAAAAUUUACUGUGGCCCGCAAAAAGUCUCUCCCCACCACUAUAUAUGCCCCAUUGCUAUAUAUGUGGUUUCACCGCUCGGAUACAGGUCAAACCCUAUCCGCCUUCGCCGCCGCUCCGCUGCGAUUCCCCUCCUCCGCGCAAUUUCUCGCCGCAGGCGAGCCUGAAAAAGCCAUGGAUUGCUACGGGAGCUCUGGGGAUGACGCAGAGCGUCGCGCCAGAUCCGACGCCGCACGCAAGCGGGGUGUACGGAGGUGGCUCAACCGCGGUAGCCGGUCGCCGCCAACGUUUGAACGCCGCGAGCUGGUCGAGUUCGAGCGCAAGCUUGCCCGCCGCCACCACGCCUCAUUCGGCUCCUCUGCCGUAGAGAGCUUGUCCGCGGGCGCCUCGAGCUCGUGGCUCAGUCCGAUGAAGAGAGAGCCGGAGGAACUCGGGCCGCUCGCCGUCAAGCUCGAGGCCGAGGCGCCGCCGCGUCGAGGAGUGAUUGACCCCAAGGACUACCUCCCCCCGGGGCAGGAGGAGCACCUAGAGCGUGUCGUCAUGGAGCGGUCGGCGAGGGAGCGGGAGGAGGGCGAAGUGCGCCGCCGACGCGAGCUCGAGUACGAGCAGAUGUUCCCCAGACGGGUGUUGCGGCGUUGCAGGUCCGCCUCCAUGAAGGUGGAGCAAGCCAAGUUCUUCAUCGACCUCGACCCCUCCGACGAGGACUUAGCUCCUCCGGCUCCUCCGCCGUGCCGUCGCUGCCGCGAGCUCAUCGAUUUUUGGUAUCUCGGCUCGGGCCCACAGAUUCCCCCACUAGUAUGAUCAAUGUAGAUGAACUAAUGUAUGAUUAAUGUCGUUGCAAGUUUCUCUGGCGAAUGCUUUUCUUAAAAUUUUACAGUUUCAUAUACGAGGUCUGAUCUGCAGCGCACGAAUUCAAUCCGCAAAUCUCAUCUGUCUGUAAACACAAUUUGCGGGUCGGCAUUAUACGAGGUCUGCUAGAGAUGCUCUUAGAUGGGUGCUGUAGAGAUAGCCUCGUGCAUCGCAGGUUGGCAUUGCAGGUUUAUAAUCUCGGGUUGUAACUUGUAAGCCAGCAUCAGUUG
rnacentral:lncRNA from 1 species